rnacentral:lncRNA from 1 species
CGAGUUUACCCAACUCGAAUGCAAACCAGGACACAAGUCCAAACCCCGCACUCACGUGCCUAUAUACCGUAGGUCUUCCUAUGGGUCAACCUAACAAAUGGUUCAGUUUCAUUUACUUUUCAAAACAACCUGUGAAUGGUGUUGUGGUUGUAACUUGGCUCUGAUACCACUUUAAUCUGUCACGCCCUGAAGUCCUUUUUAGUUUGAAACACAGCGGAAAAGUGUCUAAAUUUUUUUUUUCUGACCCCAGGGUAUGCCAGAUCCGCCACAAAUACAGGAAAUCCACUGUUCACACGGACAGAGUCUCCCCUGUAUUUGCACGGCGCCACACAAGUACAACAAGUAAACCGAAAACAACCACAACUAUAUGAAUAUAGAGAUAACUAUACAUUCAUACAUUCACCAUUCACAUCACAGAUUUACAUUCAAUGUCUAAACAUACAUCCACAGAAAACCUUUUGAAACUGUUCCCUAUUCGGAAACUUAUAUCUUUUAAAAACGCUACCACGAGGGGUAGAAAACCAUUUUCCCUUUUCACAAAAUCCACGAAUUCUAUAGUUCAUUCAAAAUCACAUGAAUUCGAAUAACAUAAACCAACUGAACCAUGUAAUAUCAAAGCUAUUAAUAACAAAAGUAAACAGGGUAGGAACUAAACCGAUAAACUGGGUCGGAAGCUCUAGCGACCACUACGAACGUGUCUCACAUCUCGUCUCAACUCUCACCGCCGGCGAUACCUGAAAAAUGGUGGGGAAGGUGAGAACAAGUAAACAUGUCUCCCCUCCCAGUGGGUACCGCAAGCUGAUGAAGGCGAGGAAUACUCACCGGAUCAGGAAGAGGUAAACAACAAUAUGGUAAACAAAUACAGAUGCUGAUACGAAGAAACUACAGUAGCUAUAACUGAUAACUGAGCAAUAAAUAAAACUGCUACUGUAAGGAAUGCAAAGCUGAGUAUGCCUCAAGGUAACCAAACCAAAACUGUACCCAAUCUGGUGCCUGCUAUAUUGGUCCGCAUACCUCAAGCGCUGCCUGUCACUGAUCUGCACCGACCUGAUUUACCCGCCCCACAGGAUGACCAUCCGGAUAAGCACACCUCCGGUUGGUGGCGAAACCGACCCGGUGUUGUCAAUACCCCCAAGUGCUGUGGCUAAGUGUCUGCCACCACGAAUGACGCACCUCGCACGGGGAAUUUUAAUCUUUUGGUUCUCCCGUGGGGUAGUAUUCAUGAUGUAGAUUAAAGUAUGUGUAUGUAUGGUUAUCAGGUAUUGCGGAUCCAUGGCUUCCAAUAAACGCAAGCGUCUAUUGUUAAUUACCCCUAUAGAAUAUUAGGGCACCUUCGAUUAAGAGACCUCUGAAAUGCUGAAGAUAAACUGGAAUUGGACAAAAGGAAAUUCAUAAUUUAUUGCUCAAUUACAUGGCUUUAACCGAGGGCAUACCCUCAGUGUACAUGAAUAGAGCGUAAAGAAAAUGUAUUUUUCAAUUGUAUCUUAGUUAUAUAUUCUAAGAUACCCAAUAUAUGGUCAAAUUAAUUUUGUNGUAAGUUCAAGCCGCGCCGUGCCUAAUGGCCCCGUGGUAGUCAACAUCCCCACUCGAGGAAUGAGCCUCCCCCACGGCAUUCCAUUUCGGCGCUCACUUCGUACAUUUGCGAGCAUCUGUCGCUAAGCUGUUCGGGAGUGCUGGCUUGGGAGGGAGCGACCCCGCAAGCGUGUGCGAACGCGCACAAUGGCAUGCAAGCCAUAGUCCAUAGUACCAAUCUCACAACAGCAUCAUGUCCCUGACAUGGUAUCUCAACUCAAGCCACUCCGGAACGCGGGGCUUGGGGGGCGCGACCCCCGCAAGCAUGUACGAAAGAGCAUAAUGGCAUGCUAGCUAUAGUCCAGGGUACAAAUAUCUCAACGACAUCAUGUCUCUGACAUGGAAUCUCAACUCGACCCAAGGUCGGCACUGUAGUACCCAAUCAUAAGUCACUAUCAACAACUUGUUGAUAUGAUUCUACCAAUAACUAGUAUAACUUGACAAGUUAAAGCUUUACAUCACACUCGUGAUUCUAUCAGGCUAUACCUGGUCAGUGAUUCACAACCUCUCACUACUCCUUACACAGAAGGAAAGUGGUUUACUAAUGUUCUGUUCAAAGACUCAUGGCACAUAUCCUGUAGUCCAAUAAAUCUCUACUCGACUAUACAAGUAUGUUAUCAUAUCCAAAUCUAGUUAUCUACUAGAUUAUAUUCAGUUGUAUAACAUUCGAGUUAUGCUUUCAUGCUCAAUUCUAGUUGUUUAACUAGAUCAUAUAUCGUAACAUGAAUUUCAAACAAAUCUAUCAUGUGAAAGUAGGAAUUAACAGGUCAAUACAAGUAAGGAAAAUAAACGACGGAACACUCUUCACAUGAUCUCUAUGCCAUUCACGAUGUUACCAUGAUAUGAGCAUACUCAAAUAAUUACCUUUACGUGAUGUAUUCAGAGUUUAACCAAGAUACUAAUCAUAUCAAUUGGCAUAGUCCAAUUCUAGGUACAUCGUUCCCUUUUAUUGCUCAGCUGAGCUAAAUGGUACCUUCACGAUUUUACCAUCAUAUCUACUUGAAUGACAACCAGUCCAAUUAUUUAUGCGAGCUACGAAUAUCACGAAUAUAUAGUAAUCCAACAGAUAACCAUGUGGAGGGAACUAAUCAUGAGUUUUCCAGUACUGUUAGGAAUGCGAUCAUAUCCAAUAUGAUCUACACAUGAAUGCGUGUCUUAAUGCCAUGAACUAUACAUAUAUUCACAAGAAUACGUAAUAGCUUCAACUCAUAUGUCAAAGGAAACAUAGAGGGAAAUUCACCCAUUUCGGGAAAGUCCGACCCACCUAUCACCAAGCUCAAUCCAGCCAAAAGGAGUCCCGAACCCUGCUCAACGGAGUCUCGACGCUGCUGAAAACGAAACACGAAAAGCGCAUCAAAACUACGGCCGAAAUGUCCAAUUUCGGUACAAUUUGCACUUAGUACAAAGUAAUAACUUGAAUCCCUGUUUUGGGUUCAGUUAAUACCUCAAAUUAAGCUUCUAAAAGCCUUUACACAUCAGCCGGAGAUACUCCGAAAGUCCGUUGCAAGCUCGCUGCGAACAAUUUCCAAAACGGCAUCAUAGUCGUCAAGUAUCAAUAGAUAUAGUCGGAAUCUUGAAAAUUCAGUUUCCUCACAGCAAUUUCAGCUUACCUGUAGUUGGAACACCUUCCAAACCAGCCUCCCAGGUCACCAAAAGAGUUUAAUGUGAUUCGCAAACCUGCUGGGAAGAGAAAAGCUCAAACUGCAUCAAUUCGCUCGAUUGAUCCGCGUAUAGGCCGAAAUAACUUCAUAAAUAAUGGAACAUCUCCAAUAAGCUUCAAAGUAGCUUAGCCCAGGUCUAAGGAGGUUCAAUCACAGCUAAUUAACUCAUAUUUAAUAGCUGAAUUCUCAGUUUAAGUCAGUUGGAAGCAAAAACUCAAAAUCACAAAUCAAAUCGACGAAUAGAACGCCGAUAACGGAAAAAUCGAGUCGUUUACCUUUUCAAGCUUCCAACCAGCAACUCACUGGUUUGGUGCUGCGAAAAACCUUCUAAAAUACCCUCUCACACGUCCACAAAGGCUCAGCGACACUCGCCAGCAGCAAAGAACAAGCGAGGCGACGAAAUCGAGCUAAAUCAUUGAUUUCAAUGUAGAGAGAGAAAACUUCUAGAGAGAGAGGGAGAGAAGGUGAAGGAAACCCUUCUCUGGACUCUAGCAACAUCCACAGAGCUCCUGGAGUCGUCCUGGGAUCAAAUAGAUAGGGAUAGAAUAUGAAAUUACCAAAAAACCCUUGCUGCCACGUUUCUGGCAUUGUGUACCGGUACACGAUGUGGCUGUACCGGUACAGCAAGCAGAAAAACAUUGAUUUCGCCAGAUUAAUGCACUUUCUUACUUUUAACCCUCCAAUCACUCUCUAACUUGUCCAAAAAACUUAUCCAAACCCUUUAGAAUGUGUAGGGCAGUUUUAUGUACCUUUUCCCACGUUCAAAUUUCGUAAUUGACCAAAUUCGAAGCAUUACAAUUGAUAAUGCAUUUGCGAUGCACUUUUCCAUUCCUAGUUACUUACUUACUCUAGUAACUUAUCAAAAACCUUUCAAUAGUUUUGCAAAAGUCAUAGACCAGUUCCAAAAGCCGAUCCACCCCUCGAACUUACCAAGAGGCUCAAGAUUCAGUAUAUUACAAUUAGUUUCCUUUCUCUCUACUUAUUGUUAGAAUUUAGCUGCUGUUGCUCUGAUAUCUCUAGUUGUCUUACUUCUACUUGCUUUCAUAUCUCUAUGGUUGUAGACGCCUUAUAUGUGUAGGCAUAUGGCGGGUCUGGGCAUGCACCAGGCGUGCCUAUGCCGGGUUUCGGGACAUGACACAUUAAUUUGGUAUUAGAGCCUAGGGUUGAGUCUUAGUGGACCUAGCAGCCCUUAGGCCGGUUAGACUAUAGGAAAUAGGCUCGUGAGAGACGAGGUCUAUUUGAUUCGUAAGAGAAAGUAUCAUGAUUGGGUUCUGUGAUAACUCUAAAAAUGUUGGAGUUGAUCGAAGUGUAUAGCUUCUAACUUCAUGAAGGGUUACGUUGGCGGCCGACAACAUAACAUCGGGAGUUAGUAGUAAAGAGCACUUCCUUACUUUCGCAUGAUUUGGUUACUUAUUUGUUGAGCGGGGUUGCGAUAGCGUGGGUUUUACUAACUUGCGCUUUCAUGAUGUUUUACUGUUAUGCCGAUGACACACUCUAAGUCUGUUGGGGCGUACAAUGCGGCAAACUUGGAGGAGUUGGAGACCUCUGUUACCUCCUGUAGCACACUGGACCUUUGCAAAUUGCGAGGUUCGAGUGUUCGAUAUGUAUUCCGAACCUUUCCACACUUGGUGGAGGGCCGUCGAUGUAUACCGGCCUAAAAGUUCGAUCUCUAGAGUUUUGGCAAGUCCUGAGAGUUUUCACUCUCGGGGAUCGUAAAGGCUGAGCACUGAGUUCCCGCGGGGAAACUUUAGAGUUUACCUAUUUCCGUGUGGAAGGGGAGAAGAUCACCAUGGAUUUCGUGACAGGAUUGCCUCGCUCCCAGGCCGGGCAUGAUGCUAUAUGUGUCACGCCCCGGGACCGGCGGAGGCCCUCUCGGUAGCGCGCCCAGACACGCCAUAUGUCAGCACAUAUAAGGCGUCUACAACAACAGCAGAAAAUAAAGCCAAAAGAUGAUAUACAACUAGAGAUAUCAGAACAAGUGUAAAUCUAUCAUCUAUAAUAAGGUGGUAGAAAAAUAGACUAAACAAUAAAAGUGAGUCAUAAAGUUAUACAAUAACAAUCUCCAAAAAAGGGUACACAAAAGGGUGGUCUCUAAACAUGGAUACAUCUCUCAACCUCUCCAAAAAGAAAACAACGAGAGGUAGACCACCUAUCAACGCGUCCCUCGAUAGCAAGCUAGCUCGAGGCGAUACCUUUUCCACGGUCCCUAGCCUCUCCCGACGUGGAAGGUUCUGAAAUAAGACAUAAAAUAGAGGGCGUGAGAACUAUAAUUUAUAGUUCGCAGUGGGCAAUUACUGACCUCAGCUCAAUGCACCACUGGCCCCAAAAGAAAAGGGUAAGUCCGAAAAGCAACAAUAAUAAUAAAUAGAUUGCAUUUAUGAAAGCAUAAUUAAAAUGCUAAGCUACUAUGUCGCAAGUAAAUAUGAUGUCAAUGUGUUGUACAUUUACUUUAUCAAAAUGAAGUAUGUCCAAGCAUGACUAAUAUGUCCCCACAUCACGAGCUAGUAGGUAUCAUGAUCCAAUAUAUCAAUAUAUGAUGAAUAUGCUCUAUCAUGAUAGCCAAGUAUACUAUGAUGCGACCAAUAAAACUAUCAUGUAUACUACAAGUCCCAACACUAUGCUAUAAGCAUGUCAAAGUAAUCAAACUACUAAGCCUAUCUAGUAGUGAUUAUCAUUUUCCGGUUCAAUGUCAUUGUUUAAUCAUGUUCUAGGACCUACAUAAAUGUAGUCCAGCUUGUGCCACCUAAGUGUCGGUGGUAGCUCCAGCAUUCCUACUCUAGGAAUGAGUCUAUCACUCCCGACUCCGUAGGUUUCUCAAUACAGCACAAGCGAGCAUAAGUCGCGUAGGCCAACUCCGGAGUGCCGGCUUGUAGGGAGCGACCCUCAAAAGCAUGUGCGAAUGAGCACAAAUGGCAAGCAAGCGUAGUUAAUGUCUCAAGUUCCCAAUCGUCAUGUCUCUAACAUGGUAAUAGUCACUAACAUCUCGAAGAUCUAGUUCAAUGUCACAAUGUGAAGUUCCAACAUUCACUAUGUCUAGUGCCCCUUUAUGACACUUAGACAUUUCGAUGUUCAAGCAUGUUCUAAUUCUCUCAAUGGCCCUAUCCGUUAGGUACACAAUAACCUAAGCUCAAUGCCGCUUAAUGACAUUAGCUCUCUAAUUCGCAUGCCAAUCUAGUCCAAUGCCCCUUUAUGGCAUUAUAAUAGUUUCAUGUCCAACUAGGGUUUAAGUCCAAUGGCACUUUACAUAUAUCAAUACUACUAUAUAAAUAGGAACCCAAGUCUCCCAUAAGAAUGCUAAUGCACACAUAAGCCUCACAUGCAAGUUCUCUACUUCAUAGAGGUCUGAAAAUACAAUGUAUGUAACAUAGGCAUUUAAAGCAUUCUAAAAUUCAUAAAUAUUACAUCUAACAUGAUUAUGCAUGCUUUCUUAUUUUACGAUACUCAAAUCAUCACAAAUGAGAUUUUCUCAUUGUGUGGCUAGGUCAAACCCACCGAAGCGUCUCGGAACCCUUCGUAAGCUCAAACGAAGUUGUCCCCUAGUCCUCUAGCACCCUAAAGGUAAGGAAAGAAGAGAGAAACGAACGUUACGAACAAUCCCUAGCUCGAUCUUUAACCGUCUUAAGAAAAGGGCCAAAACUCACAUUCAAUGAAGAAAUAUCUUCUUAAGCUCCAAAAGAGAGCUAGAACCCUUCCAAUCCAACUUAAUGGAAGAUUCUAAUCCAAGAGAUUGAGCCCCAAAAGACCUAAAUCAAAAAUGCCCAAAAUCAACCCUAGGUUUCCAUUCUAGGGUUUUAUCUCAAAAAAACCUUCAAAAACCAAAUCUAGAGGAAAAGAUCUUGCUACUAACCUUUUAGAGGCUUCAAAUAAGGUUCAAAGAUCUCAAACUUUAAAGAUCUUCCCUCAACCAAGCUUCAAAUCCAAGCUCCAAUGGUAGGAAAGCCUCCAACAAGCAAAACAAGCAAAAAGAGAGGUUUAAUCCACCAAAAUCCAAGUUAAAAGGAGAUCAAAUCCAAAUGGAAGGCAAGGAAGAGCUUCUCUUACCUUAUCUCCACUGAUCUCAGUAUAGGAAAGAGCCCUAGGGGCGUGGGUGGUGAUAUAGAAGGCCACAAUUACAAAAACACCCCUGCAGUUCAAACUGCUCAAAAUCUGCCAAAGUGUACCGGUACGCGGGAAAGUGUAUCGGUACAAAUCCCGCGAAAAUGCAAACCCGAGGCUCGGGUUGGCAAAAAACAGAAGUGUACCGGUACAACCAUCAAGGUGUACCGGUACAAAUCAUAUAUCGGUACAACCAGCGACUUGUCACCGGUUUCACCAUGUGCAGAGUGCAAUCUGAGGGCUGCCUAAGUCCAUCCUUUUAGUGACCUUAGCGCUAUAUAAAAUACCAUAUUCCUCGGGAUGCGAGCCAUGGGUCGGACCACUGUCCACGACCCUCCAGAAAAUCUGGAAAAACUCAAAACACAACUCAAACACUCGAACCUCGCAAUUUGUAAAGGUCCAGUGUGUUACAUUCACCCCUCCUAAAAAGGAGUUUCGUCCGCGAAACUCAAAGACAGAGUACCUCAAGCCUCCAUCUGAAAAAGAUAGGGAUAGCGCUCCUGUAGUGCGCUCUCCAACUCCCACGUGGCCUCGCGUUCUGUCACGCCCCGGGACCGAUACCAAUUUAGGCCGGCCCGAGCACGUCAAACAGACGCCGAACGGACAGAGUUUUUCCUGUCCGCCAAAGGCUCAUCACAUGUACAUUUUCAAACAAGAAGUGCACUAGCGGAAACAUACAAUUACGGCUUACACGAGGGUAAGCAAUAGCCACGAGUGACGUAAUAGGAUAACUAUGCAACUACACAAGUACUAUGAUUUAUUUUGAUCACAUACAUGUAUCCCUUUUCAUUCUUGAUUCUUUGCAUUUCAUUACAUUAUAUUGCUUGCAUCAUUUCUUUUUACAUCACAUUUACCUCAAAAUGAGCUUUACAUUCUUUUCUUUACAUCACUAGUCAUCAAAUACAAAAGAUGAACAUAGGGUACUCUACUAACAAAAUAUAAACCCAACUCAACUCUGGUGGCCUCUGUCUAAGGCGCGAUACUUUUACCUCGGUCGCUCGCCGGCUCNCAUUCUUUUCUUUACAUCACUAGUCAUCAAAUACAAAAGAUGAACAUAGGGUACUCUACUAACAAAAUAUAAACCCAACUCAACUCUGGUGGCCUCUGUCUAAGGCGCGAUACUUUUACCUCGGUCGCUCGCCGGCUCGUCGGUCCCGACUCUGUGGAAAUAAAGAGGGGGUAAGAACUACAAUAAAGUUCCCAGUGGGUUCGGCCUCAACUUCACCGACUUUCCCACUAGGACUAACUCAGGCAUAAUAGAAAGGAUAAGCUGAAUGUAGUAACCAAUCUAUAAUAUGAUGCUAAUAUGCCUGAACAAUAAGCAGAAAAUAUACUCAACAUUACAUAUGCAGAUUAUGCAAGUUCUUUGUUCUUUAUACUUUACACUUUAUCUUUGUUCUUUGCUCUUUAUUCUUUAAUCUCACGACUAACCCGGGGGUUUCGCCUCAUUAACUUGCUUCACAUUAAGUCCAUCAUCGCAGGAACUCACCCGCUAGGACCGUCCUUCCGGUUUACUCCAACCCGUGAUGCAAAAACUCCGGAGCGCAUCGCCCGAGGGGGAGCGACCGCCCUCGAGCACGAAACUCGUAGCAAGUAUGAUCGAAUCCUUAACUCAAAGGAUUGUAUGUUCAAUCUUGACUUUACACUAACUCUAGUGUUCUUUAUUUCACUUUAUGUUGCCACUCUAGCAAUCGUUGUUCUUUACUUUUCUUUUACUUUUGCUAACUCUAGCAAUCAUGUUCUUUACAUUUCUUUACCUUUGGCUAUCUUUAGCAUUCUUGUUCUUUACACCCCACUUUGCUUUCACUUUAGUCAUUAACAUUAUUCUUUACAUCACAUUGAUUCUUUGCCUUACACUACCUCUAGUGUCACUUUACUUUACAUUAUCAAAUGCCACUCGAUCUACGUCAUUGUGUCACUCUGUUCUUUCGCCUCACUUUGGUGCUCACAUUUUCUCUCAUGCAUACAUAUACGGUUUUUGACAUUCAUAAGGUUCUCAACCAUCUCAUUAUGCAAGUUGUACUCACAAUCAUGCAACAUCUCAUUUUUUUCUCAUUACUUUAUCCUAAAAUGCAUGCAAUAAUGUAUAAACAUAUGCUCAAUUGAAUGACACAUUAGGCAUAGAGGGAAGUUCAACGAGUUUGAGAAGCACUACCCACCUCGUAGGUUCUCAAGCAACUCCCUUUCCGCGGUCCCUAGCCUCUCCCGGCGUGGAAGGCUCUGAAAAACAUCGAGAAAAGAGGGCGUGAGAACUAUAAUUUAUAGUUCCCAGUGGGCAAUUACUGACCUCAGCUCAAGCUCCACUAGGCCCCAAAGAGAAGGGUAAGUAACGACAAUAAUAAUAAGCAAUAAAGAGCGAGUAUAAGAACUGCUGAAAGAAAGCAUAAAUGAAAUGCUAUACUACUAUGUCUCAAGUAAGCAUGAUGUCAAAGUAUAGAACAUCUACUCUAUCAUGAUAAGUAUGUCCAAAGCAUGACUAUUAAGUUCCAAUCAUAACCGACAAGUAAGUAUCUCGAUGCAGUAUGUCCAUACGUAGGGAAUGAGCUCUAUCAAGCAACCAAGUAUACUACAAUGCAAUAAAUGAAACAAGCAAGUAUACCUAAUGUCCCAAAGCUAUGUCGUGAGCAUGUCAAAGUAAUCCAACUACUAAGUCUAUCUAGUAGUGAUCAUUCGUUCUCAACACCGUGUCGAUUUCCAUUUUCAAUUAAGGACCUAUCAAAGGUAGUCCAGCUUGUGCCGCCUAAGUGCCUGUGGUAGCCCAACAUCCCUACUCUUGGAAUGUGUUUGUCCCACUCGACCCCGUAGGCUUCUCAAUACCGCACGAGCAAACAUAAAUCCCGUAGGCUAACUCCGGAGUGCCGGCUUGUAGGGAGCGACCCUCACAAGCAUGUGCGAAUGAGCACAAAUGGCAAGCAAGCAUAGUCCAAGUCUCAAGCAUCCAAUCCUCAUGUCUCUAACAUGGUAUAGUCACUAGCAUCCCGAAGAUCUAGUUUAAGUCACAAUGUGAAGUUUCAACAUUCGUUACGCCUAGUGCCCCUUGACGACAUUUAAACAAUUGAAUAUUCAACAUGUUUCCAAAUCCCUCGAUAGCCCUAUCCAUUAGGUUCACACAUGUCCCGAGCUCAAUGCCGCUUGAUGACAUUAGCUCUCUAAUUCACAUACAUUCUAGUUCGAUGCCUCUAUAUGGCAAUUUUUGUCAUAUUUCAUAUCUCAAAUAAACUUAAGUUUAAAUGCAUGAAUCAAAGCUCAUUUACACUAUAGAAGCAUGAAACCAAGUUUCACAUAGAAUGUUAAAUGCAAUCAUAGAUCUCUCAAGCACCUCUCUACUACAUAGAGGUCCAAAAUUUCAUCACAUAUAACAUAGGCAUUUUAAGCAUUCUAAAAAUCAUAAUAAAUACAUCUAACAUGAAUAUGCAUACUUUUUCAAUUAACGAUACUCAAAUCUUCACAAAUGAGAUCUUCCCAUUGUGUGGCUAGGUCAAACCCACCGAACCGUCGCGCAGUGCCUCGUUUCGCGGAACGAAGUUGUCCACGAGUCUCAAAGUAUCCUAAAAGUAUUGAGCGAAGAGAUACAAGGGCAUUACGAUCAACUAUAAGAUCAAAUAUUAACCAACAAGGCAAAAAGGGCUAAAACUCACCUAAUGUGUAGAAAAUUCCCCUCAAGCUUCUAAAGAGAGCUAGAAUCCUUCCAAAGCAAUCUAAACCAAGGUUCUAAUCUCAUUAGAUUAGCUCAAAAAGCCUCCAAUCAAAAAGCCCCAAAUAAACCCUAGAUUUCCCAUUCUAGGGUUUCAUCUACUAAAAAUCCUCAAAUCAAGGUCUAGGGGAAGGAAAUGAGCAACAAACCUCCUUAGAAGCUCCAAUCCAAGCUCCAAGGGUGAAGAUCUCCUCCUUUGCAAGCUCCAAGCCCAAGCCUUCAAGCACCAACAAGGUAGGAAGAGGAAGAGAGACAAAGAAAUGCUCCAAGUCCAAGCUAGAUCCUCCUCCUCAUCUUCUUCUCCUUCUUAUUCUUCUCCUUCUUCUCUCUCUAACAAGGGUAUGGAGGGAGUGUGAGGAGAGAAAUGAGAAAGAGAGAGGGUGGAGUGGUCAUAUAAGCCAUCUAAUGUAACAAAAUCCCAAGAGGCCCCUCAAAAAUCCAAUAUUGCAACAGCCCGGUCUGGGCAGUUUUCGCCCAAAGGGAUCGGUCUCUCCUUGCAAGGGACCGAUCUCUCGUGUCGAACCUGAGAAACCAACGUUCGGGAACCGGUCUCUCCCCGCGCGGGACCGGUCUUUCACUACGUAGACGCGCUCGGGGACCGGUCUCGCCCGCCAGGGACCGGUUGCCUCACCGGCUGCGCAACACUGUUCACUGGGGGACCGGUCUCUCCUAAGAGGGACCGGUCCCCGAGAGUGAAAACUCUCAGGACUUGUCCAGAACUCAGGUUUUCGAACUUUUUGGAUCGGAAAAUAUUUUACGACCCUCCACCAAGUGUGGAAAAGCUCGAAACACAUCCAAUCACUCGAACCUCGCAAUUUGCAAAUAUCCAGUGUGUUACAGUAAAUCUCGGUGUGAUUUUUAUUUUCCGCAUUUAUUUUUUUCGCAUUGAGAUUUAUGCUUUUUGGUUAUUACACCUAUUCACCCCCUCUAGGUGUUAGAUACAAUCUAAAUAGAUUCUCAGGCUCCUUUAAAACUUUCAAAAUUAUAGAAAAACCCCCAGUCAAAAUCCGAUUUUUUUACUUUCCCUCCCUGUCAUUUAAAAAUCUACACUUUGCCCCCUUGUAAAAUGAAAAAUGUUCACAGGGGGUACGGUGUGAACUAUAAUGAUAAAAUAACCAUUUUGCCCUCACCAUUUUGCCCCUCAUCUUGUUCACAGGAGAGAAGACUGAGGGCAUUUUUGGCAUAAAAAAUAUUUAAUAAUAUUUUAUAAACGAAACCCUAACGGAUUACUAACGGCAGGGGGUGAAGUGAAUAUUUUUUAUUUUACAAGGGUGCAAAGUGUAAGUUUUUAAAUGACAGCGGGGUAAGUGUAAAAUCGGAUUUUGACAGGGAAGUUUUAUGUAUUUUAGUCAAAAUUUUAUUAUUAAAAAAGUAAAGCAAAAUAUACAAUUUUUCCUUUUUUGGUAAUAUUCCAAUUCAACUGUAUACACCUGUUUGGCUUGGUUGGAGAAGUAAUUUAUAAAGAAUUGAUUUUAGUUUGGAGAAUUAAUUUUAGUUAAAAUUGUACAGUAUUUGGUUGAAUUUAGUAGGAAAGUGAUAUUUCUGAAGUGAUUUUGUAAAGUUAUUUCACAAAUUUUUAUUUACUAUUUGCAAUUUUUUUUUACUAAAUUUUAUUUUAAAAUUUAAAAUUAAAAUAUAAAAUAUAAAAUAUGAACUAAAAUUUAAAGUUGAUAUUUGAAUUUAAAUUUAAAUUUUAAAAUUUAAAAUUUGGUAUUUAGAAUUUAAAAUUAAAUUUAAAAUUAAAUUUUAAUUUCUAAUUUGAGUCUAAAAUUAAAAUCAAAUUUUAGGGACUAGAUUUAACCUACUUCUGAGUUUGGAGGCUUUGUUAGAAAAGUAAUUCUAAAAAUUAAAAUCAUAUUUUUAAAAGAGGUGACAAAAUGCUAGGGGUGUAAACGGAUCGGAUAUGGUCAGAUAUUUGAUGAAACCAUAUCCGCAUCCAUAUAUAUAUUUUUUUGAUACGAAUAUGUGUUGGAUGCUAAAUUUUUAUUAUCAUAUAUGCUAAAAACGGAUUCGGAUAUAAUCGAAUAUUUUUCGAAUUCGAAUAUGGAUCAGAUAUAUAUUCCGUUAAUAAUAAACAUUAACAUUUUACUUUACUUUCCUAUACGAUUUUUCCUAAUUAUAUUUUUUUCACAUAUAAAUAUGUAAUUUUAAUAUAUAACUCAUUAUAAAAUAAAUGAAUAACACGAGAAAUCACCUUAUUUUUUCACAAGAUGUAUUAAUCAUCCCUUGGUAUCUUGAUUGGUAAUGAAUUAGAUGAGUAAACAAGAGAGAUCAACUAUAGAGGUAAGGAAUUUGGGCAGGCCGGGAAUUUGGGCGGGCCGGGCAGGCGAAAUUGGGCCGGGGGAUCUAUUUCCCCUUUUUCGGAUAUUCGGAAAAAUUUAACUCCCUAAAACUAUAUCCUUAUUUGUAUACGGCCGAAUCUGGUUAUUUUUUAUUUGGAUAAAGAUAUUAUUAAAUACAGGUGCAAUUAUUUUCGAAUAAUAUCCGAUCCGUUCUCACCCCUACUAAACACUUUAUUAAAAAAAAUCAUAUAUAUUUAGCAAAUUACAUCACUUUUUUUUAAAAAAUAAUAUAAUAAAAAUAUUUUUUAAAAAAAUUAUGAUGAAAUGGAUAAAUUUUAGACAAACAAGUCGAUCAUCUGGAGAUACCACAUUACUAAUGUGAUUACUACGGUAGAAAAAAGAAAAUCUAAAAUGCACCAAUUAUAUUGCUGAUGUGGUCUUUCCAACCAACUAAAUUAAUUUUCUUAGAUUCACUCGUUGAUUAUUAGAAAAAUAUUUUUAUUAUAUUUUUUUCUAAUAUAGAAAUAUGAUUGAAUAAUUAUUAAUAAUAUGAUGUAUGUGUUAUAUAAGAGACUUACGUAAUUUAGGACUUUUUUAUAAAAUAAUCAUCUAACAUUUUAUAAUUUACGAAAUAACCCUGCCAAAUUUCUUUUAAAAACGGUGAAUCGUUCACCCCGUUCUCUAAUUUCUUUUAAAUGCGGCGAAUUUUUUACCGCUUUCUCCUAUUUUUUUUAAAUCGGUGAAUCGCUCGCCAUAUUCAUUAAAAUUGUGCGUAUAUUAUAAAGGAAAUAGAAAAAAGUGAGAUUAUUAAGAUUAUAUGUGGAUCAUUAGAAUUUUUAUCUGAAUAUUAGGGUUGUAUAGAUAGAUUAUUAGGAUUUUUCAGGCUGUUGAGAUUAUAUGAAAUUAUAUAGAUACAUUUUUAGGAUUUUUUUAAAAUUAUAUGAAAUUAUAUGGAUAGAUUAUUAAGAUUUUCAGAUUAUUUGAAUUUUUAGGUUGUUAAGAUUAUAUGUAAUUUGUUAAAAUUUUUAUGUGGUUGUUAGAAUUAUAUGUAAGAUAAAGAAAGAAACAGUAAAUAAACGAAAGGGUGGUGAAUAAUUUAUUGACUUUGUGAAAAAUAAGGAAGGUGGUGAAUCGUUUAUCGUAUUUAAUAAGACUCGGCGAAAAUAGGGAUUGUUUUACAAAUUUUAAAAUUUUAAAAUUUUAAAGAGUUGUUUUAUAAAAAAAAUGUCCCGUAAUUUAUCGUAUUUGUCGUUUCCUCGACAGCCGCACAUUAAUUUUCCUAAUUUUAUUGUUUAUUUAUUAUUUAUAUUUAUUUGUUCGAACCGCAUAUUCAGGCAGACCUGGGUCUCUCUCAUUUUCUCCCUCAAAACAUAAGAGCAGCCACGCCAUCCGUUACCCUAGCUUAUCCCACCGGAGCCAUUCGUCAGUCGUCACACGACUGACUAAUUUUCUGUGAUGAUGCGAUGCCCCCGCUUGUAAGGCGUCCCUUGACUUAAAGCCGCUCCUGCGGAAUACCUGCACACAAACUCGACAGUAUCCCCAGACUCAUUAGAGCGUCCGCUUUUCGCCACCCACAUAUGACAUAUAUCCAUUCGCUCUACUGCUCCGUCGUCUCGCGCUCCCCCGUCGAGCAAAUGGAAACGGCGGUCGGCGUCCUCUCCCCGCUCAGGCCUUCGUCUUCUCCCACUCUUCCCGUCGUCAACCCUAAACCUAUCCCUAGCAGAGUUUCUCGCCACUCCCUCUGUCUCCGGAAGGAGAUUUUCGGGUGUGGCCUCCGCCCGCCUCGGGCCACUAACGGAAGCAAAAACGCCUUGAGAUUGUCGCGUCGGCGAGUGGAUGUUACAUGCUCGGCCUCUUCAACUGCGGAAGCUGCCUCGGGUAAUUUCCCCGUCCGUUUGGGCUUUUAGCUAGUGUUCUAAGCAAGCUUUUCGUGUGUGUUCUCGGGGAGGGCGGAUGGGGUGGUGUUUGAAGAGUCGGAGAAAUGGUUGGUAUUCGAUACGAUUUUGUGUAAUUACGUUCAUGCAUUAGCGGACGAACAAGUGAUUUAAGUCUUGUCCAAACAAGUAUGGUACCUAGGUAUAACCCAGUCCAUUUAAAAACCAGGUAGCUGCAGUUGAAAAAGAGAAAAAAGAAAAAAGAAGAAAGAAAUGUUGAGCUGUGUUUUUUUGGUGUAAUUUGUUCAAUAAUAUGCGAUUAACUAGGCAUGAUACCAAGUACUUAAAAGUAAACAUAAAUUCACUUCUUGGACGGGUGUCAGAUAAUCAAUACUUAGUUCCCACUUGUUUAUCCUAUUUCCCACUUAUUUAUCCAAUUUCCUGUCAUGUAAGUACAACAUUUUUAUCUUAUGGUCUGUUUAGAUGUCCGAACAAGGUGCUGGCUGUUAAUAUAAGUAGAAGGUGUUUCAUUGCGUAAUUAUAUUGCUUUACAUUGUCAAAAAGCCCUGGCUGAUGUUUCGAGUGAGCAGAAAUACUACCUGGAUCAGUUGUUAAGGAAAUCCAUGUUUCCUUUCUAUCUAUGGUUAAUAAAAACUGUUAUUUGUGAGUAGGCAUAUGAAAUUUACUGAUUACGUGGUAUAUGCAAAGUUAUCUUGAAUUGGUACAUUUCCUGCCAGUCUAAUUUUGUUUUUAUGAUGAUGAAGAAUUUCAUUCUGAUGAAGGAAUCUAGCUGGCCAUCUGUAUCUUGGAUUAUAAGUAAUGGUAGCUUUAGUAAUCUAUGAAACAAACUGGAAAGUAUAUUAUAUUAUUUUGCAAGAAUUGACUAAUGGCUUUAUUUUUUGGCUUCUGCAGUUACCAAGAAAAAAGAAAUGACAAGGAGAGAUGUGCGGAAUAUUGCGAUUAUUGCCCAUGUAGAUCAUGGGAAAACAACUUUGGUGGAUGCAAUGUUGAAGCAAGCAAAGGUAGAAUCAUCCACUUUACUUUAUAUAUUCUGGUUAUAUGCUUCAAAUCAGAUCACAAGUUGGGUCCUUUCUCACCUCUGCACAUGCUUUUCUUUCUCUUAUCAUCUAUGCUUUUUGGUGCUAUGAAACUAGAAUGUUUAUAUCUUGGAAAUUCAGAUACUUCAAGUUCAUCAGCAUAAUUUAAUAGCCUGUAACUUUGACAUACAUGAGAAUGGUAUCUUUUUCAUUAUCUUCAAUUGCAUAAAUAUUUGAAGAGGAAUUGACAUAUUCACAUAAAAGUAAUAGUUUUAAUUAAAAAAACCCUAUCCUUAUCUUGAUUAGGUAAUUUAAAUUCUUGAAUUAACAUGGAAAUAGAAAGAUGAAAAUAUCAAAUUGAAAAAUCUUACGCUUUUGGUGUCUAAUUUCAUGAAAAGGCGCCUUUGAAUUGCUGAAAGUAUAGACAGGCAGGAAUGAAGGUUGCGAAUGGACGAGAUGUUUGGCUGAGUAUAGAUAGCUUGAACUAUUAAAACAUGCAGGUUCCUUCAACAUUGAUUGUCUUGUAUUUCUUUUGUUCCCCAGGUUUUCCGUGACAACCAAAUUGUACAGGAAAGAAUAAUGGACUCGAAUGAUUUGGAACGAGAAAGAGGAAUCACAAUACUUAGCAAAAAUACAUCAAUAUCCUACAAGGGGACUAAGAUAAACAUUAUUGAUACUCCAGGUCAUUCUGACUUUGGUGGGGAGGUUGAACGUGUCCUCAACAUGGUUGAAGGAGUUCUUCUAGUGGUACUAGUCAAACAUACACUUUGAUCAAUUUGAAUAUGUGUAAUCUCUGGGAAAUCUCAACUACAUAUUGUUUUUGUCAAUUAUUUGGGUUUGCUUGCCCCUAUUCAGUUUUAACUCAUUACUUGUAUAUUUGUUUGUGUAGGAAUAUGUUGGCAUGCCCUUUGCUAGUUGUUAAGUUUUCGAGCUUAAUAUUUUCAAGACUCGUGUUGAUUCGGAGUGAAUUAUAAUGGCAUUACUUGAUUUAAGAAAAAGUUUUUUCACAGUUCAUGCCCUAGUUUUUCUGAUGCUAAAACUUUUCAAGUUGUUUCCGGUGUCAUUCAAAAUUUAGCUCUUGCAGAUUACACGAUUGUUAUCUAUUUCAUAGCACCUAGUCACUGACUUGCGCUUAUAUUGGCUAUAUUUUUGGGGUGUGGUAUUUUAUGUGGAUAUCAACGUUCUCUGAUCAACAUUCUCUGUUUGAAUAUUUCUGAUAGAAUUUUGCUUAUAUCAGAGAAUUAUAGAACCACACUAUUGUUGGUCUUGCAGUAUAAAUUUCUGUAUUUAAAAAUGCUUCUGGUUUGUUAGAGCAUCUUAGGAUGCUUAGCCUCUGAUCUAUUGUCUCGUUCUCAUUUGAUGGUUGGAUGCUCUUUUAUGUAGGUAGAUUCUGUAGAAGGACCGAUGCCACAGACAAGAUUUGUUUUGAAGAAAGCUUUAGAAUUUGGACAUGCUGUUGUGGUUGUCGUGAAUAAAAUUGACAGGUCUUCAGCUCGUCCAGAUUUUGUAGUCAAUUCCACAUUUGAACUUUUUAUUGAAUUGAAUGCAACUGAUGAACAGGUAAAUUUCAAGUUAAUAUGCUAGUAAUUUGUCUUGUUAACUUGGUAGAAAAAAUAAGAAACAAAUUCUUCAGUAGACAUUCUUACUAUUUUUCUUUUAUUAUAUACAGUGCGAUUUCCAAGUGAUUUAUGCAAGUGGCAUCAAGGGAAAAGCAGGACUUUCUCCAGAUAAUCUGGCUGAUGAUCUUGGCCCACUUUUUGAGGCUAUUCUUAGAUGCAUACCAGAACCUCGUAUUGACAAAGAUGGUGCAUUACAAAUGCUUGUGAGUUGUUAAUUGUCCUGCUUAUGUCUUUUCAGUUUGCUUUAUCCUCGAAUCUGUAUCUCCAGUUCUAGUGUACCGUAGAGAAUCUAUACUGCCAAGCUCCACAUGCUCUAUGGCCUUAUGCUUUGUAUUUAUCAUUCCUCAGCGUGAUGCUGUAUAACUAGCAACUUUUCUGAAACAUUAUCACUAAUCGGAAGGAAAUCAUAGUGGUCCCAACCUCUGUUAAAUGAGUCAUCUCAUGUUAGUGUUGGUAGUUUUGGCCAUCUAUGUGUGACGCGGGGAGGAGAAUUUUUAGUUUAUGGGGUAUGUGAUGUAUAUGAGUGUUAUGAGAAAUGUGACAAGGAAGUUUGGAUUGGUUUGAUGUUGAUAAGGAGCACUGGUUAUUCUUUUUCCUGUCGAAACUAGAUGAGGACUGGAAACAUAAAGGAUUUGGGCUGUCUUAACAUAAUGGUGGUAGGGUAAUGAAAAAUGUUUGCUAUGAUAAAUGCACUAUGUCAACUGUCUAUGAUAAAUCUGCUUGUUUAAUAUCAUUAUAAAGUUGUAUUAUUAUUUCUUUGAUUUUUUUAAGUGAUUAUGUGGUAAUAUAAUCUCUUUUGAUAUACUAUUAACAAUUCUUUACUAGCAUGCCAAUGAAGCUUACUUUAUUGCUUAGACUAUCAGCAAGUUACUAAUACUGACAAACGUAUAGUGAUUCCAAAUCAGGUGGCAAUGUAUAAUUUGUUGUGCUAUUUUGGUUAAUUUGAAGGUAACAAACACCGAGUAUGAUGAGCAUAAGGGGAGAAUAGCGAUUGGACGACUACAUGCUGGGGUUUUGCAGCGAGGCAUGGAGGUGAAGGUAUAAGUUAUUCAGCUUUCUAGAUCUUUUUUUCUGCAUCAAAUUUACUUGGAAGCUAUGAUCAUCUGCUUAUAUAAAUAUUUCCAUCAUAAUUACUUACUAGUGAAGGACCCGCGCGUUGCGGCGGGAUGAUUUCAUAAAAAUAAAUAAAUAAAUAAAGUAAAAAAAGAGUCAAUGAAUUAUAUAAAAAAAAGCAAUUGAAGAAUAAGCAACUAUUUCUGCAAUAAAAAUAUAAGAAUAAAUUAUAAGGACUAAAAAAUAAAGGCAAAAACCAUACGAAUUUAUUAUCUUGACUAUUAAAAAAUAGUAUUGAUCCAUGUGAUAAAAUUUUAUAUUUAUUUGUUAUAUUAACUAUUAAAAAAUAAAAUUAAUUUAUGCGAUCAAAUUUUACACUUGAUAUAGGCAAAAAUAAAAAAAAUGUUAAGAAAAAAAAUAGAAAAAUAAGAGAGAGAGAGGGAGUGAGAGUGUUGAGAGAAAAAAAAAUAAAAAAAGAAAGUAAAAGAGUGAGAGAGAGAGUGAGAGAGAGUGAAAAAAAAAAAAAGGUGGGGCCCACCGUCCCCCCCAAAACCCGGGGAGAGCCUCUUUAGGCUCUCCUUUUAUAUAUUGUAUAGAUCUUCAAAGGUCCUCACAAUCACAAACUAAGAUUUCCAUCACAUCAACAUUUGAAACUUACUUUUUCUUUUGUGACUUAAUAUUUCUGUGGACAUUUACCCUUGUUUUAACUUUUCUAGCAACUAACUUCAACCAGCUAAAAGUUCCCUUUAGACUUGCUAUUGCUUUUUGGAACUAAAUAUGGAUUCUAUCUAAAUCUUCGUUGUUGGACAAAGUGGUCUGUUGUAUUUUGUUUAAACUGCAAAAUUGAUGCAACUUUAGUUUAUCAUUUAGUAAUCCUAGUUGUAGUUUGUUAUAUGUGGAAUAGUUAUAAUAAAUAUCCUGCUGUGGGUUAGGGAAAUCAGUCAUCCCAUGUUUCAGCUCAGUUUGAAACAGCAUACAAAUUGAGAACUACAUAAAAAAAAGGAUAUCUAAUUUGAGCUGGAUUACUGAUCUUUGUAGUGCAAAAUAGAAAUCUGUAAGAGGGACGUCAUCAAGGAACCAUAAUUAGGACUAUCUGAGAAUAUAGCCGUAAAUUAUGGUGUAUGUGUUCAUACUAAUUUAUUGAAGUUUUAAUUUGUUCGAGUCAUGUUGUGUAUAUUUGUAAUGGAAUUUUAUUGGAGUUUUGUUUGAGUCAUGCUAAGUGUGUUUGUAAGGCAUCAAAAGUGUUGACUCAAGUAGGAGAGACAAGGAGAGUAGAUUUGACCAAGUCCCAGCUAAUCAGAUAUGUUUGCCAGAUUUAGUUGUAUUUCUUCUUUUGCGCAGGUAAAGCAGUAAAGCUUUUAUAAUUUAAGCAACAGACACUUAACUAAUUCUGGUUCUUCAAUUUUGCUGUGAUUAUAACUUGCAUUUUGUUUGUAGGUCUGUACGUCAGAUGAAACUUGCCGAUAUGGGAAAGUAAGUGAACUUUUUGUUUAUGAGAACUUCACAAGAGCUCCGGUUGAGAGUGUCGUAGCUGGUGACAUUUGUGCUGUCUGUGGCAUCACUGAUAUAAUGGUUAGUGUCUUAGCUAUCAAACAACUGCAGUCAUUAAGCUGGAUGCUAUGUUAUGGUAAGUUGUGCAAAUCCUCAUUUUGCAGAUUGGGGAAACUAUAGCUGAUAAAAGUUCUGGAAAGCCAUUGCCUACCAUAAAAGUAGAGGAGCCAACUGUGAAAAUGUCUUUCUCUAUCAACACUUCAUCUUUUGUCGGCCGAGAGGUAUAACCUUUGUGGAAAUUUAUAUUUUUGAAUUUAAUUUUAAUUAUUGCAGUAUGCUGUUUUAGAGUGAAAUUAUAAAACGCAUGUCAUGGUUACAGCCCUCAGUUUUGCUAUCUUAUGUCUGCCAUUUAUCAAUAGGUCUGUAUGCAAGUUAAAUUAAUAGUCAGUAUAUGCACAAACCAAAAAUUGAAAUAUGGGGUGGUCUUAUUUGUUAAUUAUAGGGGCUAACUUGUACUUUAACUACAAUGGUCGAAGGAGAAGUUACAAGAUAUACCAGAAAUCCUCAUAAAUUGUUAAAUUUGAUUUAUAAAUGCUUACUGUAGAAAGUUUAAUAGGUAAAUUUUAUCAGGACUCAGGAGUCCUCUUUAAAGCGCAGUUUCGACCUUUCAAUUGUUACAGUCGGAGCUAUAAUCUUUGCAUUCCAUUGAAUUUCUCUGUAAUGCCUAUAUUAUAUUGGCAAUGAUGACUACUCUUUGAAUUCUGAUGUUUACAUAACUGAUAUAAUGACAAAGAGCAAGAAACAUGACUAAAAAUCAUUGGGUUUGUAAAUUUACUUUUCAAUUUAUAAAAUCUGACAUAUAAUAUAAUAUGUUUAUGUUUAUACUGGUCAUGAUUAGGUUGAGAAUGUCAUAUUAUCUAUUGAAAUGAACAUAUUGUAGAUGAUAUAUAUUAUCUUUAGCGAAAAUAUGGCUUCAUUCUUGAUAAGUUAAAAUGCUGAAAACCUUGGUAUAAGUAUCCGCUUUUGCACAUUACCCCCUUGAAAAUCCUCUAUUUUGCCCCCUUGAAAUUUAAAAUUGUAGCAUUUUACCUGGCACGUUAUUAUUUCAUCACUGUUCUGCACAUAUAGCAUAUGUUAACUACUGAUAUAUCCAUUAUACUCCAUAUAAAUGAAGGAAAAAAGAAAAUUAGUAAAUAGUAGGAUAUCUCUUUUAUAAAGUUACCUGAUUUGAGGAAAAAUAAAAGACUUUUAUGCAUUCCCACCAAUUUUAAGGAAACAAAAUGUAUCCAGUAAGUUACUCGGUUAAACCACACAAUUUAUGCACAAAAUAAUGAUGGAAUAAUGACAACACUGAGUUAAGUGCUAUAACUUUAGAUUCUAAGGGGGCAAAAUAGAGGUUUUCAAAAGCCGGUUAAAGUGCAAAAGCCAAUAUGUAUAGGAGGGUUUUCUGUACUUUAGCCAUUGUAUUUCUUGUUGAAUAUAAAUAUUAAAAGCACUGUUGUCACGCCCCGGGGCCCAGCGGAAGUACGCUCGGCACGUGUCCAGACCCGCCAUAUGUCUAAAACAUAUAAGGCGUCUACGAUAAAGCAAUAAAUAAAAUAAUAAUACAAAGAGAUCUAGCGAUAUCAGAGCAAAGUACUACUAGAUUCUACAACAGGAGAGUUGAACAAAAGCUAAAAUCUACUAAAUUAAACCAUAAAGUAUAACAACAAAAAUCUGAGUACAAGUGCUAUAAGUGGUACAAUGGUGGUCUCUAUACAUGGUAACAAAACUCUCUCUCACCAAAAACACAAAAAAAGAGUAGACCACCUAGGAGCAAAAGCAAGCUCUGCGCUAACUAGCUAUGCGACUCCCUUGCCGAGAUCCCGUGCCUCCGCCGGUGCUGAAGGCUCUGAAAAAGACAUCAAACAGAGAGCGUAAGAACUAUUAAUAAUAGUUCCCAGUGGGCAAUUACUGACUUCAGAUAAGAGCACCACUAGGCCCAGAACUAGGCAAAUAAGUAGAAACGAGUAAUAAACGAAAUUAACAGCAGGUAAAUAACUUGAAUGCUUGCUACAACAUAAUGUCUCUACUUAGCAUGAUUUUGCACAAGUAAGAAAGCUAUGCUAACAUAAAUAAAAUAAGUAUGCAACCAACAUAAUGUCCACGACGGAAAUAGUAAGAUGUCAUUGUUUACUAUUCUAGUUCAAAUCCACUUGGCAUAUCAACUACAUAUAGUUCCAACCUUGUAAGACCCGCCUGAAGGCUGUCUGGCCUGAAGACCCACCCGUAGGCUGUCUGGCCUGUGCCGUGCCUAAUUGCCCCGUGGUAGUCAACAUCCCCACUCUAGGAAUAAGCCUUGCCCACGGCAAUCCACUUCGGUGCCCAAUCCCGCACGGCGAGUAUGUAUCGCGAUGGUUAUUUCCGGAGUGCCGGCUUGUAGGGAGCGACCCUCACAAGCAUGUGCGAAUGAGCACAAAGGCAAGUAAGCAUAUAAAUCUGUCUCAAGUUUCGAGUCCUCAUGUCUAAAACAUGGAAUAUAACAUAUGUCUCAAUGGCCUAUCACUAUGUCGUCAUGUCUAAAAUAUGGAAUAUAGUAGAUGUCACAAUGGCCUACCACUAUGUCUCUAUGUUGCAGUUUCACAGUUUACUAAGUCGGUGCCCCUUUAUGGCACUUUUGUUCACCAAGUCUAAGCGUGAGUUUAGUAUUCCAGAAUACAUAAUUCGAGUCAUUUUCGUCAUACGAGACAUGUUUCAAAUACCCAAGAAGAACGCUACUCACAUGCAUGAUUAAUCUACAUAAAGCUCUACUAUAUAGAGAUGAAUUUUCAUAAUACAUAACACAUGCAUUUUAAACAUUCUAAAAUUCACAUAAAUUUUAUCUAGCAUGGAUAUGCAUGCGAUGCGAUGAAACGAAAACAUUUAACCACUUAGGAGAAGUUUUUUCCUAUUCCAAUAAAGCCAAACCUACUGUGACUUCACGAAACCCUUCGUUUGCUCCGAUGAAGGUGUCCACCACUCUCUUAAUACCCUAAAGGUAACAAAAGGAGGGAUAAACGAACGUUACGAACAAUCCUAGGUUCGAACAUUAAACAACUCAAGCAAAAGGGCAAAAACUCACCGACAAUGGUGAAAAUGCCUCUUGAUCUCCCAAAGAGAGCAAGAAUCCUUCAAAACCAACCUAAAGGAAGGUUCUAAGUCAAUCAAUUAAGAUCAAAAAGCCUUAACUCAAAAAUCUCCAAUUCUAACCCUAAAUCUCAAAUCUAGGGUUUCACCUAGUUUAAAGCAUCAAAACUAGAAUUUAGAGGAAAGAAACUUGCUACCAACCUCUUAGAAGCUUCAAACCAAGCCUAGAGUCCUCUAGGGUUGAGUGCAAUCCCUCCUACAAGUUCCAAACACCAAGCCAAGGCUUCUCCAAUGGUGGAAAUGGCACCAAGAAAGAGAAGAAAGCAAAAAGAAGAGUUUAAUCUUCAAAAAUCCCAAUAAAUCAAAAGAAGAUGGAAGGAAUGAAGUGGAGGGUCCCUUACCUUCUCUCUUGCUGUUCCAAGCUCAGGGGGAGGUCCAAGGGGUGUGGGGUUACAUGUAGAAAGGCCACAAUGCAAAAACACCCCUGCAGUUUCAACAGUUCAGAAACUGCCAAAGUGUACUUGUACACGGGUAAGUGUACCGGUACAAAUUCCACGAAAAUGCAAACCCGAGCCUCGGGUUUGCGAUUCACCACAAGUGUACCGGUACAACAAUCAAAGUGUACCUGUACAAAUCCUGUACCGGUACAACCAGCGACCUGUCACCGGUAACAGUGUGCAGAGUGCAAUUCGAGGGCAGCCCAAGUUCUUCACUUUGGAGACUUUGGUGCUAGGUCUAAAGCCUCGAUUUUCGGGAUAUGAACCAUAGGUCGGAACAAGGUCAAUGACCCUCCAGAAUAUCUGGAAAAGUUCAGAACUCUGCUCCAACACUCGAACCUUGCAAUUUGCAAAGGUCCAGUGUGUUACAUUCACCCCUCCUAAAAAGGAGUUUCGUCUGCGAAACUCGCAAGCAACAUACCUCAAGACUCCAUCUGAAAAAGAUGGGGAUAGUGCUCCUGCAAAGCGCUCUCAAGCUCCCACGUGGCCUCUCGCUCCCCGUGGUUUUCCCGAUUCCGCAGCUUCCUAACCUCGCGAGCUAAGAUCCUCACGGGCUGCUCAAAGCUCAAGUCCUCCCGCAACUCUAAAGGCGUAGCAUCCAAUACAUGGGCCGGGUCGAAGAUAUACUUCCGAAGGACUGAUACAUGAAAGACGUUGUGUACGCUCAAUAGGUUCGGUGGUAGAGCAAGUCGAUACGCUACCGAGUCCACACGCUCCAAAAUCUCAUACGAUCCAAUAAAUCGGGGGCUCAACUUUUCCCGAAUCCCGAAUCUCCGGAUCCCUCUGGUCGGCGAGACCUUUAAGAAUACAUGGUCUCUAACUUGGAACUCCAAGUCUCGCCGCCGUCGAUCGGCGUAGCUCCUCUGUCUACUCUGUGCCAUCAAUAGUCGCUCCCGAGCAAUACGAACCUUGUCCUUAGUUUCCUGAAGCACAUCAGGGCCUAAAGCCAAUCUCUCGCCAACUUCACUCCAAUGAAGUGGCGAUCUACACUUUCGUCCAAAAAGUGCCUCGAAGGGUGCCAUUUUGAUGCUUGCUUGAUAACUGUUGUUAUAAGCAAACUUUGCCAUCGGUAGAUACUGCGACCAUCCUCCCUGGAAGUCUAUCACACAUGCUCGGAGCAUAUCCUCUAAAGUCUGAAUAGUGCGCUCUGACUGCCCAUCACUCUGAGGGUGAAAAGCAGUGCUGAAAUGCAAUCGAGUGCCUAAGGCGUCCUGCAGUCUCCUUCAAAAAUGAGACACGAAUCGGGUGUCUUGAUCAGAUACAAUUGAGGUAGGCACUCCGUGAAGUCGCACAAUCUUAUCAAGGGACACUUGUGCGAGCUUCUCUCCAGUCCAAGUAGUAUGGAUAGGUAUGAAGUGCGCCGACUUCGUCAACCUAUCUACGAUCACUCAAAUAGCAUCAUGCCCGGCCUGAGAGGAGGCAAUUCCAUCACGAAAUCUAUGGUGUUUUCUCCCACUUCCACACGGGAAUCGGCAAAUUCUGAAGUUUCCCCGCGGGUAAUCGGUGCUCAGCUUUUCUUUGUUGGCAAGUUAAACAUUUAGCAACAAACUCACCAACAUUCUUUUUCAUCCCAGGCCACCAAUAGAGCAACUUUAAGCCCUUGUACAUCUUGGUGCCUCCCGGAUGUAUAGCAUAGGGUGCCCGGUGUGCUUCUUGAAGAAUAUCUUCUUUAAGUCCCGAAUCCGCCGGUACACAUAACCGUCCACGAAAACAUAUCAAUCCUUGGUCAUCCACAUGGAAAUCACCGGUGUAACCAUCAAUCAUUUUAUCUCUAAUAUUUUGCAAUUCCACAUCGGAAACUUGCCUUUCUUUAAUUCUACCCAACAGUGUAGGUUGCACUACCAAGAUCAUCAACCUCAAGGGUGUGUCAGGUGUCACCACUUCCAACUCCAACCGCUUCAUUUGCUCAAUCAACUGCGGUUGAGCCACAACAUGCAUCGCUAAGUUUUCUGUCGAUUUCCGACUUAGUGCAUCCGCCACCACGUUAGCCUUGCCCGGGUGGUAAAGAAUAGUCAGAUCAUAAUCCUUGAGCAGCUUUAACCUGCGCUGUCUCAAGUUCAGCUCCUGAGUAAAGAGAUAUUUCGAGCUCUUGUGAUCCGUCUAUACUUCACACCGCUCGCCAUAAAGAUAGUGGCGCCAUAGCUUCAACGCAAAGACUACGACCGCCAACUCAAGAUCAUGUGUAGGAUAGUUCCUUUCAUAUUCCUUCAAUUGGCGAGAAGCAUACGUGAUCACCUUGCCAUCAUGCAUCAAAACGCAACCCAAUCCAUUAAAUGAAGCAUCACUAUAAACCACAUAUCCUGCUCCAGCAACCGGCAGGGUUAGGAUCGGGGCGGUCGUCAAUCUUUGUUUUAACUCUUGGAAGCUCCUUUCACACGCAUCGUUCUAAAUGAACUUACCGCCUUUAUGCGUGAGCCUCGUGAGGGGAGUAGAUAACUUAGCAAACCCCUCGACAAAUCUCCGGUAGUAGCUGGCCAAUCCAAGAAAACUCCGUAUCCCCGUGACGCUCGUCGAUCUCGGCCAAUCCUUGAUAGCCUCAAUCUUCUUGGGAUCCACGGCUAUACCCGAUCCCGAAAUCAAAUGUCCGAGGAAUGCCACCUCUCGAAGCCAAAAUUCACACUUUUUCAACUUGGCAUAUAGCUCUCUUUCCCGAAUUAUUUGAAGUACAAGCCUCAAAUGUUCCUCGUGAUCUGCAUCACCUCGGGAGUAAACCAAAAUAUCGUCGAUGAACAUCACGACGAACCUGUCUAGGUAUGGCUUAAAAAUACGGUUCAUUAGAUCCAUAAAAGCUGCUGGGGCAUUAGUAAGCCCGAACGGCAUAACUGUGAACUCAUAGUGUCCAUACCGUGUUCUAAAAGCCGUCUUCGAUAUAUCCUCGGGCUUGAUCUUUAACUGGUGGUAUCCCGACUGUAAGUCGAUCUUGGAAUAUACACUCGAUCCCUGAAGCUGAUCAAACAAGUCGUCGAUCCUCGGCAACGGAUAUUUAUUCUUGAUCGUGACUUUAUUAAGCUCACGAUAAUCUAUACAUAGGCGAAGUGAUCCGUCCUUCUUCUUGACGAAUAAAACUGGCGCUCCCCAAGGCGAGACGCUCGGUCGAAUGAAGCUCUUGUCCAACAAAUCUUGCAGCUGUUCUCUCAGUUCUUUCAACUCCGCCGGUGCCAUCCUAUAGGGCGCCUUUGAGAUUAGGGUAGUUCCAGGGACGAGAUCCACCACAAACUCAAUCUCCCUAUCAGGGGGCAUACUCGGUAGCUCAGCUGGAAACACAUCCUAAAACUCCUGCACCAUCGGGAUAUCCUCAAUCCUAGGGGUGUCAUCAUCGCCCCUCACCACAACACUAGCCAAAUAGGCUAUGUAACUUCUGCUGAUCAGCUGCCUAGCUCGAGACGAGCUGAUCGUCAUCGCAAACAGCGAACUCCGGCAUUCUCUAAAUACAACCUUAGUCUGUCCCGGUUCUCUAAAAGUAACCAUGCGAUUCUUACAAUCAAUCGUGGCAUAAUACUUGGUUAACCAAUCCAUACCCAAGACUACAUUAAACUCCCCCAGCUUGCGCAAAGCUAGUAGAUCCACGGGCAUAAUUCAAUCCCCUACCCGAGCAGGGCAGCUGGGGCAAAACUCUCGAAUAUCCAGAGUGUGGUCGGGUACUACAACCUGUCCCGGAUGCAAUAAAGAAACCAAAGGGAUGCCAUACAACUCGGCAAACAGCCGAUCUAUGAAUGAAUGCGAUGCACCGGUAUCAAACAAUGCACGAACUCUAAUGCCAUCAAGUAACAAUGCACGAACUCUAAUGCCAUCAAGUAAAAUAAUACCUGCAACCACAUCCUCGGUUGCUGCCGCCUUCUGGGUCUGAGCGGCAUACAUGCGCCCACUCGGGGCCUGUCGAGAUCCCUCGCUCUGACGCUGGACGGAUGACUGCCCAUGCUGGUACUGUGCCGAUGGAGUCCCCUGGCUGGCGGCUGGUAGAGCCGGUGCCGAUGCAGUUGACGGUGCUGGUGACGAACCUCUCGGGCACUCGGUCCGGAUGUGGCCCUCCUGGCUACACUGGUAGCACCUGCCUGCCCGCUGUGGACACUGCGGUGGAAAGUGAGGACCACCACAUAUCACACGCUGGGGAGGCCGGCGUCGGUUGGUGUCUUAUCGCUGCGCCGCUGAGUCGCGCCCACGCUGCUGGCUCCUAGGGUGCUUCGGCGGCCUCCUAGAGUGCGUCUAGCUCGCACCCUCAGCAGCGGGCCUUUUGCCCUUACCUUUGUCCAUGCCUUCUCGCCGUUCCUGCAGAUCCGCCGCGCCGCUCUCCACAACGAGCGCGCGGUUCACCACCUUCCGGUAGGUUUGGAGGUUAGAGGAUUGCACGAACCGGAAGAUAGACGGUCGCAAUCCAUGCUCGAAGAUACGGGCUUUGCCCUCGUCGUCCCGUACGACGAAAGGCACGCAAUGCAGAAGCCGGGAAAACUCCCUCUCGAAUUCGGCCACUGUCCGGUCUCCCUGGCGCAAGUUGCGCAAGUCCUGCUCCAUCUUCCUUUUGACGCCGUCACGGAAGUAGUGCGCCAAUAGAAGCUCUUUGAACUUCUUCCAAGAAAUAGUCGCCAAAUCCGUGUUGGGGUUUUUCUGAAUAUCCAACCACUAGCGAUAGGCUUCGCCGUCCAAAUGGUGUGUAGCGAGCCAAACUCGAUCCCUCUCCUCCACGAAGGUGUCACGGAAGAGCUUCUUCAUAUGCAUCAACCAUUUUUUCAUGAUCCAGUGGUCGACCUUCUCUCCAUCGAAGAUCCGGGAACUGCACCUCCUGAACUCGUUGAGGUGCUCCAUCAGUUGGUCCCGCUCCUCUCCAACAGUUGUCACAGGGAAAGCCGCCCCCACUAGAGGCACCUGAGCUGGUGGUGCCGCAAUUACCUCCUCCCGUGGCGCUAUCGCAGGUGUCGUCCGCGAUGUGUCGAGGACGGGGGACGACCCUCGGGGUGCAACCACCUCUACUGGCGCGGGUGGUGUAGGAAUCUGAGUCUCUAUGGCCGCCGCCUGCUGCAUCAACAGGUCCUCCAGGCGCUUCAUCCGUGCUUCCUGUCGGCGCGCUGCCUCCAACUGUUGUGCCACCAUGUUAGUGAGGGCCGCAAGCUGGCCACUCAACUCACGGACCUCGUCAGAUUCGGAGGUAGCGGAGGUCUCGACCUCCUCUAAAUGUGACGCAUUAUCCGCUCCGGCAGAUUGAGAGCGAGUGAUCGGCAUCGCACUACAUCAUAAAAGCGCAAGUUAGUAAAACUCACGCUAUCGAAUCCCCGCUCAAGUAGAUAGUACCCAAAUCAUGCGAAAAUAAGGAAGUGUUCUUCACUACUAACUCCCGAUGUUACGUUGUCGGCCGCCAACGUAACCCUCCGUGAAGUUAGAAGCUAUACACUUCGGUUUAACUUCACUUUCUAGAGUUAUCAAAGAUACCCAAUCAAGAUAUUUUCGCUUACAAGUCAAUAGACCUCGUCUCUCACGAGCCUAUUUUCUAUAGUCCAACCGGCCUAAGGUCUGCUAGGUCCACUAAAACUCAACCCUAGCCUCUGAUACUAAAAUAAUCUGUCACGCCCCGGGGACUAGCGGAAGCCCGCCCAACACGUGUCCAGACCCGCCAUAUGUCUGAAACAUAUAAAGCGUCUACGAUAAAGCAAUAAAUAAAACAAUAAUACAAAGAGAUCUAGCGAUAUCAGAGCAAAGUACUAUUAGAUUCUACAACAGGAGAGUACAACAAAAGCUAAAAUUCACUAAAUUAAACCAUAAAGUAGAACAACAAAAAUUCGAGUACAAGUGCUAUAAGUGGUACAAUGGUGGUCUCUAUACGUGGUAACAAAACUCUUUCACCAAAAACACAAAAAGAGAGUAGAUCACUUAGGAGCAAAAGCAAGCUCCGCGCUAACUAGCUAUGCGACUCCCUUGCCGCGAUCCCGUGCCUCCGCCGGUGCUGAAGGCUCUGAAAAAGACAUUAAACAGAGGACGUGAGAACUAUUAAUAGUAGUUCCCAGUGGGCAAUUACUGACUUCAGAUAAGAGCACCACUAGGCCCAGAACUAGGCAAAUAAGUAGAAGCGAGUAAUAAACGAAAUGAACAGCAGGUAAAUAACUUGAAUGUUUGCUACAACAUGAUGUCUCUACUUAGCAUGAUUUUGAACAAAUAAGAAAGCUAUGCUAAUAUGAAUAAAAUAAGUAUGCAACCAACAUAAUGUCUACAACGGAAAUAGUAAGAUGUCAUUGUUUACUGUUCUAGUUCAAGUCCACUUGGCAUAUCAACUACAUAUAGUUCCAACCUUGUAAGACCCGCCCGAAGGCUGUCUGGCCUGAAGACCCACCCGUAGCUGUCUGGCCUGUGCUGUGCCUAAUGGUCCCGUGGUAGUCAACAUCCCCACUCUAGGAAUGAGUAUUGCCCACGGCAAUACACUUCGGCGCUCAAUCCCGCACGGCGAGUAUGUAUCGCAAUGGCUAUCUCCGGAGUGCCGGCUUGUAGGGAGCGACCCUCACAAGCAUAUGCGAAUGAGCACAAAGGCAAGUAAGCAUAUAAAUCUGUCUCAAGUUUCGAGUCCUCAUGUCUAAAACAUGGAAUAUAACAUAUGUCUCAAUGGCCUAUCACUAUGUCAUCAUGUCUAAAACAUAGAAUAUAGUAGAUGUCACAAUGGCCUACCACUAUGUCUCUAUGUUGCAGUUUCACAGUUUACUAAGUCGGUGCCCCUUUAUGGCACUUUUGUUCACCAAGUCCAAGCGUGAGUUUAGUAUUCCAGAAUACAUAAUUCGAGUCAUUUUCGUCAUACGAGACAUGUUUCAAAUACCCAAGCUUGGCAGCGUUUGGUUAGGGGAUAGGGAUAGGAAUAGGCCCUUAUCCCCCCCUUUAUACCCAAACGCUAAUUUUUUACUCGAGAAUAGUAGUUCUCGGUUAUCCCCACCAACACCUCCAUUUUCUAUACAAAACUACCUAAAAUUGUUCUUAUCCCCGGGAACAACCCAAUUUUCAUCCAAACACUGUUUUUCUUAUCCCCAUACUUGUACCUAUCCCUGUAAUAGCUAGUUCUUGCUUAUACCCGAACCAAACGGUACCGCUACUCACAUGCAUGAUUAAUCCACAUAAAGCUCUACUAUAUAGAGAUGAAUUUUCAUAAUACAUAACACAUGCAUUUUAAGCAUUCUAAAAUUCACAUAAAUUUUAUCUAGCAUGGAUAUGCAUGCGAUGCGAUGAAACGAAAACAUUUAACCACUUAGGAGAAGUUUUCUCCUAUUCCAAUGAAGCCAAAACCACCAUGACUUCACGAAACCCUUUGUUUGCUCCGACGAAGGUGUCCACUACUCUCCUAGUAUCCUAAAGGUAACAAAAGGAGGGAUAUACGAACGUUAUGAACAAUUCUAGGUUCGAACAUUUAACAACUCAAGCAAAAGAGCAAAAACUCACCGAAAAUGGUGAAAAUGCCUCUUGAUCUCCCAAAGAGAGCAAGAAUCCUUCAAAACCAACCUAAAGGAAGGUUCUAAGUCAAUCAAUUAAAUUCAAAAAGCCUUAACGCAAAAUCCCCCAAUUCUAACCCUAAAUCUCAAAUCUAGGGUUUCACCUAGUUUAAAGCAUCAAAAUUAGAAUUUAGAGGAAAGAAACUUACUACCAACUUCUUAGAAGCUUCAAACCAAGCCUAGAGUCCUCUAGGGUUGAGUACAAUCCCUCCCACAAGUUCCAAACACCAAGCCAAUGCUUCUCCAAUGGUGGAAGUGGCACCAAGAAAGAGAAGAAAGCAAAAAGAAGAGUUUAAUCUUCAAAAAUCCCAAUAAAUCAAAAGAAGAUGGAAGGAAUGAAGUGGAGGGUCCCCUUACCUUCUCUCUUGUUGUUCCAAGCUCAGGGGGAGGUCCAAGGGGCGUGGGGUUACAUAUAGAAAGGCCACAAUGCAAAAACACCCCUGCAGUUCCAACCGUUCAGAAACUGCCAAAGUGUACUGGUACACGGGCAAGUGUACCGGUACAAAUCCCACGAAAAUGCAAACCCGAGCCUCGGGUUUGCGAUUCACCACAAGUGUACCGGUACAACAAUCAAAGUGUACCUGAUGCAGAACAGACUUGAACCUAUAUUGAUCGGAUUAAACUGAUUUAGUUCAUUAUUUUUUAAAACUUAGAUUAGAUUAGUUGAGCAUAUCUUUUAGUUAGUUAAAUAAGGAUUUUGUAGUUAUCCUCUAAUUUAGUUUUAUCUGUAUUUAUUUUAGAUUUUAUUGUUAGGAUUUUAUCUAGAAGUUGUUAUGAAGGUUGUUAAUUUGGUAGAGAUUUUAUUGUUAGGAUUUUGUUUUGAGCUUAUCAUUGUUAGAAAAGCUCUUUAAAUAUUCUAUGUAUUGGACGAUAAUUAAUCAAUGAAUGAGGAAGAAUGUUAUUUUUUAAAAUGAGAUGUGUUCUCUAAUUUUUCCUUCGCGAAUGCGUCGCCCUGGAGUGAGUCCAGUCCCGAAGUGAGUUCGGUUCAGGAGUGAGUCCUGAUUAUCUUUUCUAUUUUUUUCUUUUUUUUUUAAUUUUUCUAUUUUCUUUAAUUUUUAUUUUUUUUUAAUUACGGAAAUUUUUUUUUUUAAAAAAAAAGUAUUUCAAAACUUUCAAAAUUUUAAAACGCUUUCAAAAUCAUAAAUUAUAUUUUAGAGCCCUUUAAAAACGUAGGACCCUAUAUCCCGUCCUGCAUCAGAUUUGGUAUCAGAGCUUAAGGCUAUUUGACGGUUCUAUUUCGUCAAAAAUUUUGGGCUUGUGGAAACAAGGUGGAAAUUUUUUUUAAAAAAAAUUAUGGAUGCAAAAGAAUGUCUUAAAAAUGUUUUUCAAAAGUAUGGUAGAAGAAAAGGAAUUCAUAUUGAGUCUUUAAAAGAAAUAUGUGAGAUGACAGGAGUAGAGUUUGAUGAAUGGCUGUACGAUCAAAGGUCAUAUUUUGAGAGAAGAAGAAAUGAUAUUCGGAUGGAAAUGCUAGAUGACUUGAGAUGGUGGUAUAGACAAAGGCAAAUAUCUCAUCUUGAUUUUAACAUAAUAUUUUUGAAGGAAGAAGAAAGAAGGUUGAAAGAUAUUGAAAAUAGUGCUAAAAUUGCUGAAGAUGAUUUUCGAUGGAUGGGUAAGGUCAGAGAUGAGUAUCGCUGGAUCCAACUAAAAGUUCAACUAGAAACCCUAGUUGCUCAACAGAGUACACAACCUAUAGAACAGUUGGAAGUCGACAAUUCUGAUCCAGUUCCAUCCACACCAUCUGAUUGCCAAGAAGUUCCAGCUGUGGCCGGGUCCGAGUUAGAUUUAGAAAAUCCAGAGUUGAUUCAUGAAGAUAAGGUAAAUCAGUGUGUUGAGGAGGUAAGAUUACAGAUCAAGUUACCCUCAUUGGUCCAGCAAUAUGAGUCCACUAUAUUAGAUCUUCAAAUUGCGUCGGAAGUAUCUUUCUCGUUGAUAUCAAACCUCAUGAAGUCUCAUGAAUUUAUCAAUCAUUCUUCCUACAUCAAGACCAAGCCGGAAACUCGGAUGAUACCGAUUGUUCGACAUGCAGGCAUUGGACUGCAUCACUUUAUUUUGCCCACUUGGUUGUUUCCUAUCUCGUUACAAAUUCAACUAAUCUCGAGGACGAGAUUCUGCGCAGCGGAAGCGAAUGAUGCAGAAUAGACUUGAACCUAUAUUGAUCGGAUUAAACUGAUUUAGUUCAUUAUUUUUUAAAACUUAGAUUAGAUUAGUUGAGCAUAUCUUUUAGUUAGUUAAAUAAGGAUUUUGUAGUUAUCCUCUAAUUUAGUUUUAUCUGUAUUUAUUUUAGAUUUUAUUAUUAGGAUUUUAUCUAGAAGUUGUUAUGAAGGUUGUUAAUUUGGUAGAGAUUUUAUUGUUAGGAUUUUGUUUUGAGCUUAUCAUUGUUAGAAAAGCUCUUUAAAUAUUCUAUGUAUUGGACGAUAAUUAAUCAAUGAAUGAGGAAGAAUGUUAUUUUUUAAAAUGAGAUGUGUUCUCUAAUUUUUCCUUCGCGAAUGCGUCGCCCUGGAGUGAGUCCAGUCCCGAAGUGAGUUCGGUUCAGGAGUGAGUCCUGAUUAUCUUUUCUAUUUUUUUCUUUUUUUUUUUAAUUUUUCUAUUUUCUUUAAUUUUUAUUUUUUUUAAUUACGGAAUUUUUUUUUAAAAAAAAAGUAUUUCAAAACUUUCAAAAUUUUAAAACGCUUUCAAAAUCAUAAAUUAUAUUUUAGAGCCCUCUAAAAACGUAGGACCCUAUAUCCCGUCCUGCAUCAGUACCGGUACAAAUCCUGUACCGGUACAACCAACGACCUGUCACCGGUAACACAGUGUGCAGAGUGCAAUCCGAGGGCAGCCCAAGUUCUUCACUUUGGAGACUUUGGCGCUAGGUCUAAAGCUUCAAUUCUCGGGAUAUGAACCAUAGGUCAGAACAAGGUCAAUGACCCUCCAGAAUAUCUGGAAAAGUUCAGAACUCUGCUCCAACACUCGAACCUUGCAAUUUGCAAAGGUCCAGUGUGUUACAACUGUUUUCUAGAAGCUUAAGCUUUUGAAGAAAAACAGUUGUUUCAUAUUCUUUGAUUUUUCUAUACUAAUAUGUGGUUAAUGUGGGUUGGUUAUGCUCAUCCUCUUAUGAAAAGCAAAUGAAUGUUAGAAUAUCUUGAUAGGCAUGGUGACUAUGCUCUAUGUUAGUCAUGUCUACCUAACUUGCAUGUGGCCUUGUAAGAUAUAAUAAAACGUUGAUAGCAAGUUUUCUGGGUUAUAUCUCAAGGAAACCAAUCUAAUUUUUAUUUUUAAGUUCAUAUGUACAAUCAGUUCCAUUAUUAUGCUAAAAAAUUGUCAGUUUAUGGAAUCACAAGGAUUCCACAGACAUACAAGAAAUAAUUCCAAACGUCAAUUUACUAUUCUGGUCUGGCAGCUUGAACUUAACAUGGACUGGUUGGGUCACUUUGUGAGAGCAUAGAUAGAGAACCGUAAAAGCUGAAUCCUUCUUCUGUAGGGUUGGAUUGUCAACCACAUAAACUCAACCAGUUGACUAUUCAGAUGAUCAUUUGACCUCUUUGCAUGCCAGUAUAGAGAUUCCAGCACACUGAACUGUUGGAUACUCUAUUUUGAUACAUAAUUGAGAAUCAAUUCGGCUGUAAGUAUCCCGUAGCCAUUGAAAUCCUCAACAAGUUGGUCACAUCAGCACUUCAGCAUUGCAGUGUGUCAGAAUCUGUGAUAUCCAUGAAUGUUCUGUAUAUGAUGCAUUGUACUUGUAGAUAUUUUCGUUGUAUUGAAUUUCCUCUUAGCUUUUUUUUUUUUUUGGUCUGGUUUUCUAUUACACAAAGCUUAUAUAUGUCUUUAUAAAAGUAGUUUCUGAUGUAGCUUUUUGCCCACUCAUUUUUCAGGGUAAGUAUGUGACCAGCCGAAAUCUCCGAGAUAGGCUAUAUCGUGAACUCGAGAGAAACUUGGCAAUGAGAGUUGAAGAUGGUGAGACAGCUGAUACAUUUAUUGUUAGUGGGAGGGGCACACUACAUAUCACCAUCUUGAUAGAAAACAUGUAGGAGUUAGUUAAGCUUCAAGAUUCUUUGAAGUUACUUUAUUCAUCCCUUUUAUUGUUGAAUUUACUUUAUUCAUCCCUUAUAUAAUAAGAUAUUUCCAGGCGAAGAGAAGGAUAUGAGUUCAUGGUGGGGCCACCGAAGGUCAUAAACAAAAUGGUAAACGAUAAGCUGCUGGAGCCUUUUGAGGUAUGCAUUUCUUUGAUAAAAAAUGACAUUUCUUUGAUAAAUAAAUCUUGUCGGCAAUAUGAAAUUAGCUGGAAAAAUGGAAAAAUUAUGUAAGAUAAACUCCCAUGCACUAUGUAGCCGUGUAACUUUUUUUUUUUUUGGUGUUGUAGAUUGCUACUGUAGAGGUGCCAGAGGAAUACAUGGGACCUGUUGUUGAACUUCUUGGUAAAAGGCGGGGGCAAAUGUUUGAUAUGCAAGUGGUUGGGUUCGUCUCGUACCUCUAGCUUAUUUAUUUGUCAAUGGAGCAUGCUGUAGUGCAUCUCUAUGAUCACUGUGCCAUAAUCUCUUUUCUAGAGCUUUUAGUUUUUGGAUGUUUAACCUGCAAUCAUACUCAAGUAUCUUGCUCAUCGAUGUAGGAAAUUAAAAUUGUGCAUUCUUCUUCAUAGACCUUACCUCGUAUUGUUUAUUAAGUGUCACUUCUUCAUUUGAACCAUACUCUCUGUAUAACUUUUUCUCUUCUUUGAUUUUAUCUUGUAGUCUCCGAUAAUAUUAAUUUUACUCAUUCACUGUAAAUGUUAUACACAUUUGUUCUUAUGCUUCAUGUCUAAAUAUUCAUCCGUCAAACUUUGUUUUUAUUUUUAUCAUUUUUGUUGUUAGAGGCAAAUAAAAACAUAUUACUAUAUCACUCUAUUUCCUUUUUUAACCCAUAAAAAAAAAUUCUCCCUUUCUGUUGUAAAAAUAAAGAAAUCUAUUAUAAAAUAUUGUUUUUCACAUUUGCUAUGUUUGCUAUGAUCACUACUAAGUUGUAAGAGAGGUAAGCUUCUUUUGUUAUUGUGUUGGACAGAUUAAUAUACUUCAUAUACACAGAACAGCUUUUCAAUUUCAGUUAGAAAGAGAUCAAAUAUUUCUCGAUUUCUUCAUCGAUUAUUUGAAAGUGUGGGUAUGUAUUUUGGCAUAUAUGCAAAACACUUCGUGUUAUACAAACAUUUUACUCGAUCGUGCUGAUAACAAUCUUCAGAUAAAUUUUAUUUUGCUGAGCACGAUCUUUUGCUUAAACUGUUUCAUGCUGUUAGACUUACAAUGAGUUUGUUUUCGUCAUAGAUUGGAGGGAACAACCUUAUUAAAAUACAAGAUUCCUACUAGGGGUCUUCUUGGCCUGCGAAAUUCAAUCCUAACAGCUUCUCGUGGCACAGCUAUUUUGAACACUGUAUUUGAUAGCUAUGGACCAUGGGCUGGAGAUAUCAGCACACGAGACCAAGGCUCCUUGGUAAAAAUUCUGAAUUAUGAUAUGAAAGUAGUUCUAAUUCAUGCUGUCAUUUAGCUCAUUAUAGUUGUGGAAUGAUAGCUUGCGAUGUAUGGAUGUAAUACAAAACUGAGUGCGAAAAUUAUGCAGGUUGCCUUUGAAGAUGGAACUAGUACUUCUUAUGCUCUGUUUAGUGCACAAGAAAGAGGCCAGAUGUUUAUAGGUCCUGGCAUGGAAGUGUACAAAGGUCAAAUAGUUGGUAUCCAUCAAAGGCCUGGCGAUUUAUCCCUUAAUGUAUGCAAAAAGAAGGCUGCAACAAACGUUAGAUCCAACAAGGAACAGACAGGUAAAGUUGUACCCUCUAUGCAUAAAUUGAAUCAUUGUGGAAAAUUUUUCUUGUUCUCUAGCGUGCUUCAACUUGCUGACGCUCUAAUAGAAUAUCAUUGUCUGAGAUAAGUUCAAGAAUCUCUUCCCAUGCAUUUAUUUAUUUUUAUGCAGAGAGAAGGGAUCCAUUGAACGACGUGUAACUUAUAUUUGCACAUGUGAAAUUCGUUAAAUAGUAAAUAUGAUCGACAACAUCUAAAAAGCCUAUAUACAAAAAAUAGUAAGUUUGAAAACCUUUUUGCAUCAAAUAUUUCCAAUAUAAACGAUCUAUAAUUUUUGGCAAAGAUCAUUAUUUAAAUGUGCAAGACAUAUGUAUCUAAAUAGCAAAAAGCUACUGACCCAUCUGGACUUUAGUGCAACCAAGCAGACGCGUGCACAUGCACAGGCACAGGCACAGGCACAUAUAUGUGUGCACAAAUACGCGCGCGCAUGCACACAUGCACGUGUGCGCGCACACACAAAUACAAACACAUGUAUGUAUGCAAGUGUCUUCAUAUUUAUAUGUACAUAUAUCUAUGGAUGCUAUUAGCUUCUCAAGAUGUCGUAUACAUUGAGAUAAUGUUGUGUAAACAGAAAUUAUCAGAGGACUUGCGAUAAUGUUCUCCUUGCUGUCACUUAUAAGGUGAUGCAUUCAUAUAUUAGGAAGCAAAUACAGACACACUAAAAUGCAUGGACAGUAAAAUGCGUGGAGGAGACAAAUUGUGAAAACUAAUCUUAGAAACGUAUAUGUUCGGUUUAUGUUACAGUUUGGCAAUUUAGUAUGUCAAAUCUUUUCAUUUUUGUGCUCAAUGAGCUCUAUAUCAAGCACUGUAUGUAAGGGUGGAGGUGGGUUGGGUCAAUCAAUGGUCUAGACUUGGCUGCUUCUAAUGCAAGUAGGUUCUGAAUACUUGCAUUUCCUAAACUGGGGCAACUAGCGGUCUAUGAGACCUUGUGUGGUUUAAUUCAUGCCAAACCUGCCUUUAUAUUAGUUUGUCUUGAUUCUGCUUUAGUAAUUCAUGAAGCGACUUUAUGUACAUUGUCUAAUUAUAGAAUUAGAGGCACCUUUAUAGUCUAAUUAUAGAAUUAGAGGCUAGGUAGCAGCUGAAAUAACAGAUAUACAAACAAUAUUAUGUUCCAGCUGACUGUCGGUAACAAACACAUUCAACUCCUUCAACUACACUGAUUGACAUCUCUUGAUAUUGAAAUAAUGAUUGCUAGUAACAGAUCACUAUCACAAAAUUCUUUUAUGUUCAAACCUUGUGGACUCUAGAAUCAUUGUUAAGGGUAUGUUUGGUUUGCCAUAAAUGAAGUCGAAAACUAUUUCAGUUAGGAAAAUAGUUUUUUUGCUUAUUUAUUUCCACAUAAAACAUUUUUCUUGUAAAAAUGGUUUUAUAGAUUUUGGGAAAAACUCAACUUUUUGUUUUCCGCUUUUUUCCAGCGGAAAACGGAAACUUUGUGGGGAAAGAAUCACGGCUCAUAGGACCAUCAGUGCGCGAGCUGAAGUGGGAUUUCAAGGACUGUGUGAGGAGAUUGUAGUGGACCAAUGUUUCAAAAGGUAUGAGGUAUCCAUGCCACCUACUGCAUAGUGCAUAUGCGGUAUGAAGGCAUAUAUGUGGUCCAUUUAUUAAAAUAUUAAUAAAAUAAUUGUAGGUAUUAAAAAUAUAUAUAAUUGGUUUCUAAUAAAAGUAAAUAACUAAAGUAACAAUUCAGAAUUCACAAAUUAAAAUAGUUAGUUUCAAGUAAAGGACCUAAUGUGCACACAUAUAUCACUAAACUAACAAUUAGCAAUUUACUUUUAAUUAUUAAAUAGAAAAAUAAAUAGAUUUGUGAUGCAAAAUUGUAAAAAUAUCAAACAAAAAAUAAUGUUCUAAAAAGCAAUAUGCUAAACUUUUAUAAAGAAUAAUAAUUUUUUCAAUAAAUUGUCAUUCACAUUAUUUGAGAGGCCAACACUUAAAAUGAAAAAAAAAAUGUACUAUAAUAAUAUCUAACUACUACAAAAUUAUUCAUCAAUAUUUACAAAUAGAUAGAUUAGUAAUAAUACCUAUUAAAAUAAGAAAAGAGAUUGUUUGGUUAUAGUUAUGUAAAGAUAAAUGCAUUUAAAUGAUUAAUAUUAAUUAAACUUAGAGUGGGCUGGUAUGCUUCUGGAAGCACGGAGCCCUCCGUGCUUUCAAGUUGUUUUCGAUAUUCGGACUUUCGAAUCGACGGUCGGCUCUGUUAGAGUUGAUCUAGAUAAUUUGAAGUACCUAGAAAAUAAAUUUUGUAAUUUUUCGAUAUCAUUUGCCUAGUAAUCGAAAGGGCUCAAAAUCAAUAAUUUUAAUGGCCGUGGUGAGCCGUUUGCAAGUUUAACGGUAUAGAAAUAUUCAAAUCACAUGAAAUUUUGAUAGAAAAUUCUUUAUACCAUAUAAAACAAGAUCAAUAACUUUGAUCUAAAAUUUUAAUGUCAUAUCAUCUUAUUUUGUAAGAUUUUUAUUUUCAGCCGUUGAUUUUGAGCCACUUCGAUCACUAGGCAAAUGAUAUCAAAAAAUCGUAAAAUUUAUUUUCUAGAUACUUCAAAUACUCUAGAUCAAGUCUAACGGAGCCGAUCGUCGAUUCGAAAGUCCGAACAUCGAAAACAACUUGGAAGCACGGAGGGCUCCGUGCUUCCAUAAGCAUACCAGCCCACUCUAUAUAUAUAUAUAUUCCAGCUACUAUUCUUUUAGGAAGACGAAGGCCUUCGUCCUCCUAAGUCGUUUUAGAUGAUAGGGAUCCCGAUUCGUCCUCCUAAGUCGUUUUAGAUGAUAGGGAUCCCGAAUCGAUGAUCGGAACCGUUAAAUUUGAUCUAGAGUAUUUAAAGUAUCUAAAAACUAAAUUUCAUAAAUUUUAAAAAUUAUUUACGUAGUGAUCGAAGGAUCACAAAAUCGACAGUUUUUGAUGGCCUAUAUGAGCCGUUUACUUGUUUAAUGACGUAGAACAAUCCAAACAGCCUGAAUUUUUGAUAGAAAAUUUUUUAUACUAUUUAGAUAAUGUUUGAUAACUCCAAUCAUGAAUUGAAAAAGUCUAACAUCUAUUUUCACAAGGUUAUUUGUUUUUGACCGCUCAUUUUGCGACUCUUCAAUGAACUUGAUAAUGAAUUUUAAAAUAUAUGAAAAUUUAGUUUCUAGACAUUAUAAAUGCUCUACAUCAAUUUUAAUGGUUCCGAUCAUCGAUUCGGGAUCCCUAUCAUCUAAAAUGACUUAGGAGGACGAAGACCUCCGUCCUCCUAAAAGGAUAGUAGCUGGACUCUCUCUCUCUCUCUCUCUAUAUAUAUAUAUAUAUAUAUAUAGUCCGGCUACUAUACUCUUAUAAGUACGAUCGUCUUCGUACCCAUAAGUUGUUUUUGAUGAUAGAGCUUCCGAAUCGACGAUCCAUACCGUUAAACGUUAGAAAAUUCUAUUCACUAUCUAGAUAAAGAUCAAUAAGUCCGAUCUUAAAAUGAGGGAUCCGAUCAUUCAAUUUUAGGACGUCGUUCGAUUUUGACCGUUUAUUUUCUGCCAGAUUGAUGGACUUCAUUACGAGUAUAGAGCCCUUCGUACUCAUAAGUUGUUUUCGAUUAUGGAGCUUCCGAAUUGACGAUCCUCUCCGUUUAAUAUGAUCUAGAGUAUUUGAAACUUUUAAAAAAUAAAUUUUGUAAUUUUGCGAAAUCAUAAUGAAGUCCAUCAAUCUGGCAUAAAAUGAAUGGUAAAAAUCGAACGACGUCUUAAAAAUGGAUGAUCAAGUUCUUCAAUUUAAGAUCAGACUUAUUGAUCUUUAUCUAGAUAGUGAAUAGAAUUUUCUAACAAAAAUUCAACCGAUUCUGAUUUUUUUACACCGUUAAACUAGCAAGUAUUCCAUACCAGCCGUUAAAAAUUGUCAACUUUGAGAUCUUUUGAUCGUAAGGUAAAUGAUGUCAAAAAUUUAUAAAAGUUGAUUUUUAGAAGUUUUAAAUGCUCUAGAUAACGUUUAGCGGUAUGGAUCGUCGAUUCGGAAGUUCUAUCAUCAAAAACGAUUUAUGAGUACGAACGCGACCGUACUCAUAAGAGUAUAGUAGCCGAACUCUCUCUCUCUCUCUAUAUAUAUAUAGAGAGAGAGAGCAGGGCUACUAUGCUAUUAGGAGCACAACAGUCCUCGUGCUUCUAACUUUCUAACCGGUUAGGAUAAGAGAUAAAAAAGAAAUUGGAGAGAAAUUCAAAAAGAAGAGAUAUUGAGACACCCAAUUUCUUCCCAAUUUCUUUUCUCUUCAUCCUAACCACUUAUCAAAAUUGAUGGGUGGUUAGAAAGUUAGGAGCACAAGGACUGCUGUGCUCCUAAUAACACAGUAGCCCUACUCUCUCUCUCUCUAUAUAUAUAUAUAUACAUAUAUUUAUAGAAUUAGGCUACUAUACUAUUAAUAGCACCAACUCAUUGGUGCUAUUAGGUUUUCAACCCUUGGAUGGAUGUGCUGUUGGGAUGAUAGUGGUCUUCUAGGGUUGAGUGGGUGGUUUGUUGAAUAGUAUGAUCUAACGGAUGGAAAUAGUCAAAGAGGUAGAUCUAACGGUAGAAAAUUUGGUAGCACAAAGCGCUUGGUGCUAUUGAUAGCUUAGUAGCCGGACUCUCUCUCUCUCUCUCUAUAUAUAUGUAUAUAUAGAGUCCGACCACUAUGCUAUCGAUAGUACCAAUCUCUUGGUACUAUUGAAUUUUCUGCCGUUAGAUCUGUCCUUAAACUAUUUCCAUCCGUUAGAUCAUAAUAUUUCACCAACUACCCACUCAACCUUAGGGGACUACUAUCGUCCUAACUUGGGACCACUAUCAUCCUAACCGCACAUCCUUUCAUCCAACGGCCGAAAUUUGAUAGCACCAAGCGUUUAGUAUUAUCGAUAGUAUAGUAGCAUAAUUCUAUAUUGCAUACAGUUUCUUGUAAAUAUAAUGAAUUGCAAAUAUAUCCCUACAAAGUUCAACUUUCUUAUAUUAUCCCUGCAAAAGUCCUAUUGUUUUCAAAUAUGCCUUUGCCGUUAGGAUCCAAUAGAAAAUUUAUUUAACCAUAGGUAAAAUACUUAACCCUAGUUAGUCAGUGAAAUAAAUUGACAUUUUUAUCCCUUUUAUAUUGUACCUUUUUCUCUCAAUCAAAAUCCUAGCAAUGGGAACUUUUCUUCUUCUUUCUCUUCCUUUUUUUUUCAUACUAGUUUCGAACUCGUAACUAGAAUUUCUCCUUCCCUAUUCAUCCAUGAUGUAUGUUGCUUUGCCCAUGUUGAACGCGUGUUACUUCCUCAUUCAAUUUCCUCUAUAAUUUUUUUUUUAUUUUGCUCAAAAGAAAAGGUUUAAAAGAACAGGAGUGAGAGAAGAGAUGUUGUAACAAUGGUGGAUUGGAUUGAAUUUUAAAAAGGAAGAAAAUGAGGAAGAUGACCAUUGAAAAUUUUCUGGGGGGACAUUUAUGCAUGAUUAUAGCAGUUGGGGCUUUUGGAAGGACAUAUUUGUGAUGGGAAAAUUAACAUUUUACUUAUCUGCUGUUAAAAAAUAAACAAUUCUCUAACGAUAACAACCUAGAGGGACAACUAUGAAUAUUAUCGAACUUUUGCAGGGAUAAAAGUUAAAAGUUGAACUUUGUAGGGAUAUAUUUGCUGUUCACUAUGUUUACAGGGAGCUGUAUGCAAUUAACUUUAUAUAUAUAUAGAACUAGGCUACUAAACUAUUAAUAGCACCAGGUAAUUGGUGCUAUUAGGUUUUCGGCCCUUAGAUGAAGGGAUGUGUGGUUAGGAUGAUAGUGGUCUCCUAGGGUUGAGUGGGUGGUUUGUUGAAUAGUAUGAUCUAAUGGAUGGAAAAGGUUAAAGGGGUAGCUCUAACGGUGGAAAACUUGGUAGCAUCAAGCGCUUGAUGCUAUUGAUAGUAUAGUAGACGUACUCUCUCUUUCUCUCUCUCUCUCUCUCUCUCUCUCUCUAUAUAUAUAUAUAUAUAUAUAUAUAUAUAGUAAGUCUCCUGUACUUUCGAAAGUACAGAGACCUCCGUGCUUGUAAGUUGUUUUCGAUGAUAGGAAAUCCGAUUCGACGAUCGGCUCCGUUAAGUAUAAUCUACCCUAUUGGAAUUAUUUAGAAACCAAAUUUUAUAAUUUUUUGACAUCAUUUACCAAGCGAUCAAAAGGUCUAAAAAAUGACUAUUUUAAUGGCCGAUGUGGCACGUUUUUAAGUUCAACGGUGUAGAAGCAUCCAAAUUAGAUGAAAAUUUAAUAGAAAAUUCUACUUAACAUCAAUAGUAAGACCAAUACUUCCGAUUUGAAAUUUGAGUCAUUUAUCACUGUUUUUUAUGAUAUUUUCAUUUUUAGCCGUUCAUUUUGAGGGUACUCGUUUACUAGACAAACGAAAUCAAAAAAUUAUGAAAUUUGGUUUCUAGGUAGUUCCAACAGCGUAGAUCAUGUCUAACAGAACCGAUCGCCAAAUCGGAUGUCCCAUUAUUGAAAACAACUUACAAGUACGGAGGCUCCCGUACUUUCGAAAGCAUAGGAGCCUAGCUCUAUAUAUAUAUAUAUAUAUAUAUAGUGCAACUACUAUACUUUUAUGAGUAUAGUAGCUGUUGUACUCAUAAAUUUUUAGUCAUCAGAUCUACUUCAAGAUCUGUGCAGAUUUGAUGGCUUAAUUCAUUCCAAUUAAUCUUUAUAAUUAACUCUUUUAAUUAAUUUCUAACCCCUUAAUUAAUCCUUGUAAGACAUUCCAUUCUCGUCCUCUUCCUCUAGCACCGCCGACGCCCACCCCUACCUCCGCUGCCACUCCAAACCCCCCACCUCAACUUAUCCUCUGACAGCCCCCUUCCCUCCUACCACGAUUCCCGGUGGCAGCAGAGACGAAGACGCCUUUCUUGGAAACGAAGAAGGCGCCCACGGGAUGGCGUCGACCACGCCGGCCACGACGGCGUCAAAUGUGGCGAGGAUGUCAGAGUCGAAGCCCCCUUGCCCAGCAGACCUUGUAGAUGGCGAGAGGCCCCUUGGGUGCCAUCCUGGCAGAACGGAAGGUGGUGGGGGGCGACGAUAGUUCUAGGGAAAGAUUGGGAAGAAGAGGAAGAGGUUAAUUGAGGGGUUAGAAAUUAAUUUGAAGAGUUAAUUAGAAUGGAGGAGUUAAUUAGGAUAGGUUAGUUCGGAUGAGUUAGCCAUCAGAUCUACACAGAUCUUGAAGCAUACCUGAUGGCUAAAAAUCUAGAAGUACAACAGCUACUAUACUCAUAAGAGUACAGUAGCUGCACACACACACACUCUCUCUCUCUCUCUCUCUCUAUAUAUAUAUAUAUAUAUAUAUAUAGUUGAGCUGGAAUGCUAUUUGUAGCAAACGGGCUCUGUUGUCACCCAUUUGUUUUCAAUGAUAGAGCCUCCAAAUCGACGAUCGGUACCGUUGAACAUGAUCUAUACCACCUGAAGCAUCUAAAAAUCAAAAUUUAUGUUUUUUCGAUAUUGUUCUCUUGUCCAUCAAGUGGACACAGAAAUGAACGGUUGAAAAUGAAUAUCCUUAAAAAGUGAUGAUAGUAGUCUUGUAAUCAAGAUCAAGAGUGUUAUGCCCCGAGCCAGUCUAUUUGGUCGGUUCGGGCACGUCAUCAGACGCCGAACGGACAACACCUCCCCUGUCCGCCCAAGGCUCAACAAGACGUCAACAUGUAUAUAGUUAUUACACAGCGGAAACAUAAGCAUAUACAUAGUUUGCACGAGGGCAAGCAAUAGCCAAAAGUGAAAGUCUAUACUAUUACAUCCAUACAAGUACUAUAAUUAUCUUUUAACACAUACAUGCACAGUACAUUACAUUCUUUCAUUCUUUUUCUUAUACAUCACAUACAUCUCCAAAACAUAGCAUUUCUUUCAUCCAAACAUAAGCUUUUACAUUUACAUCAUUUAUACAGUUUGCAUCAUCAAGUACAAAAGAUGAUAAAACUGGUAUGAAGCUAUACUCGGGUGGUUACUGUCUAAGGUGCGAUACCUUUACCGCGAUCGUCGACCGGCUCGCUCGGCCCCGGCUCUGUAGAUGAUAGUGGGGUGAGAACUACAACGAAGUUCCCAGUAGGUUCGGCCUCCGACCUCGCCGACUUUUCCACUAGGUUUAAAUCAGGCAUAAGUAGAAGAAUAAAGCAGAUAGAUAGGUAAUCAUGCUAUACAAAUGCAACUAAUAUGUCUGAACAAAUACAAUCAAUGUAAGGAUGCUCAUGAUGCAUGCAAGGUCCAUAUCCAAUACCCAAUCCUCUUGGCUAACCCGUAGGUUUCGCCCACGACUCAACAACUCAAAUCCCUACUAUCGGGGAGAUACUCACUACAACCCGACGGGACCGUCCUCUUGCGAGAUACUCGCUACGAUCCAGUGAUGACUACUUCGGAGCUCAUCGCUUGAUGGGGUGCGACCGCCCUCAAGCCAAGACUUAUAGGUGAGUAUGAUCCAAUCCUUAGCUAUAAGGAUGUCAAGUUCAAUCCGAUCCUUAACUAUAAGGAUAUUAUGCUCACUCAAAUCUUUAACUAUAAGGAUGCCACAACUAUGAGGUUGUCAUGUUCACACAUGCCACAAUGCCAAAUAUCUCAUUCUUUAUACUCAUUAAUGCCACACACACUAAGUGUUUCAUGCUCUAGCAUUUACUAUACUCAUUAAUGCCACACACUAAGUGUUCCACUCUCUAGCAUUUAUUAUGCUCUUUAAUGCCCCAAGGUGCUACUCUACUCAUGUCAUAAUGUCACUAUGUUCUUUACCUCACUAGGUUCUUGUCACAAUUCACACAUUCAUAGGGUUUACAACUUGUUCAUUAGCUCACUAACAUCUCAUAUGCAUCUUGUACUCAAAGCAUGCAAGCAAUAUAUUCUCAAUUCAACCCUGUAAUGCAUGAAAUUCAUAUACACAUAUAUGCUCAAGAAGUGACAUUUAGACAUACACGGAAAUUCAAUGAUUUCGGAUAGCACCACCCACCUCGUAGGGUUGCUAGGGUGCUAGGAUUCAAGUCUCGGAAUUUUUAGCCGCCAAUUUUCCUUGACUGCGGCAAAACAAAGGCAAAAUAGGCUUUUUCCUUGAUUUCUUCGCGUAGACUCGUCGGAUCUUCAAACCGAGUCCACCAACGCGUCGGUUUACACGUCAAUUAGGGCUAUAAGAGAUCAAACCCUAGUUAGAUCUCAUAUUUACCAAAACCCCAUUUGUCACGCCUCGAGCUCCGCCAAUUUGGUCAGAUUCGGGCACGCCGACAGACCGCCGAACGGACAGAGCUUUCCCUGUACGUCCUAGGCGUCACAAUCCAUUUGAUGCAACAGAAGAGGUCCCAACCAGGAACAACAUUCAAACAUAGAUUGUAUAAGUAUCAAAAACAUAAAAGGCUAACUAUGCUAUUACAAGCAUAGUCUCAAGAUUUUACAUUUAGAAAAUUACAUAAGCCUUUAUACAAUUUACAACUUAUACAAUUUACUACAAAUUUGUUUCUUUCAAUUUACACUCUAAACUCUGAUGCUAGACCACUUCAAGGUACUGCUAUCUCUGGUCUCAGUGGUAGGGCGCUCU